rnacentral:lncRNA from 1 species
CUUUUUUUUUUUUUUUUUUUUUUUUUUUUUUUUUUUUUUUUUUUUUUUUUUUUUUUUUUUUUUUUUUUUUUUUUUUUUUUUUUUUUUUUUUUUUUUUUUUUUUUUUUUUUUUUUUUUUUUUUUUUUUUUUUUUUUUUUUUUUUUUUUUUUUUUUUUUUUUUUUUUUUUUUUUUUUUUUUUUUAUUUUUUUUCUUUUUUUUUUAUUGUCUGUUUUUUUCUUUUAUCCUGUUUUUCUUCCUUUUCAAGAUCUUGAAAAGAGAGAGAAAAUGAGAGAGAGAGAAUGAGAAAGAGAAAACGAGGGAAAGAGAAUGAGAGCAAGAGAGAGAGAGAGGAGGAGAAAUUUUUGGAGUUUUUUUAUUUUUAGUGGCUUUGAUAUUGAAAAUACUAUAUAAAGAAUUUUAGAUGAAAUCAGUCAGUUGAUACAAUUAUUGUUGUUAUGUGCUAUUAUCGUAUGAUAAGCGGGUGGGGCUUUUCUUGUUUUCGUAAACAUCAAGAUUUUAUUGGUUGGGUCUAUGAUUCCAGCCUACAUGAUACUCAAAAGGGCCCUGGUUCAUCUGGAAAUGAAAAGUGCUUUAUGAACGUUUGGAUUGGUGCUUCCUUGACUCGGUUUGGUAACUUCAAUUUCUACCCACCUAUAUCGUGUUAAGUCGGAUCACCGACCUAUUUUCAUGGUUGCGACCAAGCUCAAGAAGUCAAAUCUUCCUCAUACCUUUCGCUUUAUGGCUUCAUGGUUGUCACAUGUUGAGUUUAAGCCUUUUUUUGUCGGAAUGGAAUCGGUCUUUUACCUUUAUUCAUCAGAUGUCCAUUCGAGCUACCAAACUGAAAAAAUGAAAUAAGGAAAUUUUUGGCAACAUCCAAACGAAUAGAAGGAGCUUAUCUUUAAACUUGCUGAUGUUUAAGCUCUCGCAGCUCCUCUACUCAUUCAAGACACCACAAUGGACAUUGCAAGUGACCGGAAUACUCAUUUUUUUCACGUAUCCACCUUCCGUAGGCGUGCUCGGAACCACAUUAUUAAGUGAAGGAUGACUGUGGGGUGUGUAUUCAUUAGGUUUGGGAGUCGGUUAAUUUGGUUAAUAACCAUCGGUUAAUGGUCGGGAAGCGCUUUGAUGAUUGAAAUUAAUUAACCAAAUUAACCGACCGAGCAAAAGCCACGGUUAAUCUUACCGACCGAUAACCGACCAAUCAGUUAAAUGAUCGAUUAUUAACAGACUGACUCUCGGUUAACCGUUGUAACCGGCUCUGACCAAUUUAACUCUCUUCUCAUAUUGCAACAAGAUUCUAGGCUCUGGCUCUAGAUCCGUCGUCGAUUCAAGCCUUGGAGACCAUAGCUUCUCUUCUGGAAACAAUCCGGUGCUCUACAACUUGAUCCUUCGGGACUGGAAGCUUUCCGAGACGGCGUUGUUGCGGAUCAGUAAGGAGAGGAGGAAGCUUCAAGCCUAUGGUGUUGCAGAUCGAAGAAUUGAGAGAGUGGAGGAGGAGAGGAUUGGCCGUGGCGACGAAGGAAGCAUGUGGUGUUGCAGAUCGAAGAAUCGAGAGAGUGGAGGAGGAGAGGAGCGCUUGCGGUGACUCGUCGUGGUCGUCGUCGUGACUGCCGGCGAGAUGCUGAAAUUGAAUCGCUUGGAUUGAUAGAGUUGUCGAGAUGGAUUGAUGGAGUUGUCGAGAUGGAUUGAUGGAGAUGGCUCGGAGUUAACCUAAUUUCAGAAUGAGAGGUUGUGAUGGAGUGGGAGGCUGGGAGGGGAGGGAGCGAUUCUGCGAUUGUGGUGAGCAAAGCUUGAUUUCCUAAUUGGGGACCUUGGUUUUUUUAAUUACCGGUUAACGUUGGUUAACUCGAGUUAACCAACGAUUUUACCCUGCUCCAACAAGUACUCCCAACUGUUCCCCGACCGACCCCUACCUCGGUUAAACCGACACUCUAACCGAGUCGAUCAGUUCAUCUGUUUAACCUAUUAACCGAGACUGAUGGCCCACCCUUAGUAUUCAUCCAGCUUGUUGCUGCAAUUAGUGUCGUAUUGAUAUGGUUGAGAGAGGAUAAAAUAUGCUUGAUUUCAAGUUCUCCAACUUGAAAGGUUUAGCUGUUAAAAAUGUAGAGGUCAUGACUGAGUACUGAUUUCCAGCAAGGAGAAGUUGGAUAUUUGCUUGCGAUAAAAAAGAAUUUGGACAGUCUAUCUUAGGCACAAAAUCUAACGGAUGAGAUGGCAACUUUACUUCAGGGGCCUAUUGGUCAUUUUAAAAUUUUCUUGUUUUUCAGUUUAUUUUUCCAUUCUGUUUAAUAUUGGUUCAAGUAAAAUGAUUUCUUGUAAAUUGGGUCUAUUGAGUAACGUGGGUGGGUAGACUUUAUUGCUCCCAUCGAGCUUGACGUGAUAUUUUCUUCUUCGUUUCUUUAACAUGCAUAAAUUGUAUAUAAUACGAAAGGUUGGAAAUAUAUGUGAAGCUCGAGGUUUAUUAUAUAUGUUUCGAGGUUUAUUAUAUAUGUUGAACCUUUUUGCCAAUUGGUUAUUUUUAUCAUGUAGUGCCUUAUCAAGUAAAGGGAAUGGUUGUUUUUAUCUACUGUCACUAGCCAACUUUCUUUCUCAUGUGAUCAAUUAUUUGAUCACGCAUGAAUGACUACAGUACACAAAAGAUAGAAAUAUUAUAAAAACAAAAAACAAAUAUUAAAAAAAAAUACCUAAAAAGCAGGUACAUAACAACAAAAACAAUAACCGUAAAUAUCAAGUACAUGAAAGCGGAUGCUCAAAAUAAGCACGCACACAUUAAAAACUUUGGUACAUACAAGGCAAGAAAAUCGAGAACAUAUUGGAACUCGAGUACCGGAAUUGGUACGGUAUUAAGUACAACGUGAAGAAAUAUCAAGUACAUUAAAAAGCGAGUAUAUAACAAUAGAAAUAAGUACACGAAAACAACUCAGAGAAAUGAUAAUUUGAUUGCCAAAAUUGAGUAUGAUAAAGUAAAAUGCAAGCACGUAGUACAUGAAACAAAUAUGAGUAAGAGUACAUAAAUUUUUUAGUACAAUACAAGACAAAAACUCAAAUACAUAUAAAAACUGGACACUAAAAAAAAUAAUUAAUUAUUCACAAUUUUAAAUAAUAAUAGUCACGAUUUUUAUCAUGAUUAACAGAAGCUAGUCACGAAAAUAAAUCCGUAACUAACCUAACCGAUGCUAGAUGAACUUGUCACGAAUCUGAAUAACCUGUAACUAAGUUGUCACCGAAAUUUUCCGUGACCAACUCAUCACGGAAGAAACCGUGAACAUAUGUGUUUUUGUUUUUGUUUUUUAAAUUAGUGGCACGGAGCCAUAUGCUGUGAUAAUUGAUUUAUUAAUAAAUUAAUCCCACAUCUCCGUGGCUACUAUAUCACCAGAAUUUCCAGAUUCCGGCAACCACAAUUUCCAGAAUCCGGCAAUAAGAUAGAGUUGAUAAUUGCUUUUUUAUUAGAGUAAAAUGUUCUACAUCUAUACAUUAUGAUACCCAUAUCAAAAUUCCAGAAUCCCAAAAUUGAACAUAACGUCAACGAAAGGCACCAUGCAACAAUGGUGACACUAAGGGUUACAACAACCAGCAAAACCGAAACACAGACUGGAAAUGCUACCAAGAGAAGGAUGAGACUAGAUGAUGAGAUUGAGAUUGAGAGAAGAAAAAUGAUAGUAAGAAAUUUUGUUUUCGAGAGAGAUCAAAUGAAGAUGAGAUCUACUUCUAAUUUAAUAUAAUGGAAAUGGAGAUAUGGUUGUUUAAUGGCAAAGAGAGAAGAAAGGAAUAGCCCAUUAAACGAGGAUAGAGUCUGCAUCAUUUCUUUUUUCGACCUUUUCCCACUAAAAUGCUAAUUUUAAAAUUAUAAAUAAAAGUUGGUCACGGUUCCAACAUUUACCGUGAGUAGUUGGUCGCGGUAUUCAACAAUCCAUGACUAGUUAUGGAUUUUUUUUUAUCUAUAAGUAGUUAGUCAUGGUUUUUAAAGCCGUGAUUAAUAAAUCGUGAUUAAUCGUUGAUUUUUUUUGUAGUGCGAGUAUGAGUAUUGAGUAAAACGUCAUGUACAAAAACAAGUACAUCAAAAGCGAGUACAUAAUUAUCAAAACAAGUACUAAAACGAGAGGAAAAGUACAUAAAAAGCGAGUAUAUAAUAAUAGAAACAAGUGCAGUAAAAAUCAAGUGCAUGAAAGGAAAACGAAACUCAAACUAAACACUAAUACAAAAAAAACUUUAGUACGCAAAUAAGUAAAUACAAGAAAAUUAACAUACACAAACGAAUACAUAAGAGUAUAGUGUUUAAACAAAGCGAUUAUACGGAUCAAUACGAUGUUGAGUACAAAACAACAACUUGAGGCUUUAUCCCUCAUUUUUAGAUGAUUUUGUACUAAGUUCUUAUAUGUAUUAGUUUUUAUUAAUGUAAUCCCUCGUGUACUUUGUCUUUGGAUUUAUUUUUAUGCCAUAUCUAUUUAUUUACGCAUUUGUGUAUACUUAUAUUUUUAGAACUUUAUACUCAAAUCAAUUAAUCAAACAAUAAAACUAUUUUCUCUUUACACGAACCAACAUAAUAACCCAUCACCCCAUACAGGGUUGUGAAGGAGGUGCAGUGACCAGAAUUUUCUAGUUGUUGCUUUUCUAUAGUUUGAUAAGGGUAAGCAUCUUGUUCUAGAAUAUAUGUUGUUAGGUUAUAACAAUGCAUCUAGUUGAGCAUGAUUCUUUGGUCAAGUGUUACUGGGAUUCUUUUUGUUCCACAUCAAUGCUCGGAGGUCGAAGAGGCAACGAGGGUGACGAAGAAAUCGGCAUCACCACGUGAGAGAAGAUGAAGAAGAGGUCAGAGAGUGGAGCCGGUGGAAAAGAUAUACUAGAAGAGGUACUUAAAGUUACUUGUACGACAAAACUGCCCUUAUUCAAUUGGACAACCCCUAGAUUAAAAUUUAAAAAUGAACGGACGCGAUUCGUUUGCGGCCAGCAAACACAUAAUAUCAUGGCUGCCUAUCCGGACUCGUCAUAACUGGCGUCAACAUUACGUAGUGUUGUCAAAAAUUAAAAAGGGGAAUAUAUAAUAAUAAUAAUAACAGACGUAAUCUUGUGUAUAUAAUGAUAUUAAAACGUUUUUCAAUCGACAAAGCCAAGUCUGCGGGAGGAACAGCUAAUGGACGAACAGCCUAAGCAUAAGCCGCCUUCUUCGUAUUCUUCAGAUUCUCUGAAUCUCUACCCUUUUUUUUUGUUACGCGGAUUCCCUUCCCUCGUCUGCAAACAAAAAGCUCUUCGUUGACUUUUUAGCAGGCUUUUUUAAAAAACCUUAAUUGAAAAAAUUUGUACAUGGUUGUUGCCUUUGUUGGCGUCAGCAUGACCCAAUGCUGUUGUCAUGUUCAUGAUUGCUCCAACUCACCUGGCUGCGCAUCUGCCUUCUGACCUGACCUGCCCUCCUCCUUUUUUUUAAAUUAUGUUUCCCCAAAAUUAAAUUUAAAUCGUUACAAAAUUGGUCUCUCCUUCUCCUAUAUAUAACGUGGAAGAGCUCCUGCCAAAAAAGUCAUUCAAACUCAAAGCAGAUAAAUUAUCAAAAUAAAAAAGAAAACCCCAGUGCUCUGCCUGCCGUUAAGAAAUUAGUUUAUUGGGUUUGUUGUGUUUAUGAAAGCUGUGUUCCAGAGACUGAUAUCGUCAAGCACCCAGAUUGGCUGUAGGAAGAAAGUUGCAUCUUUUCCAUUAAUCAGAAGCGCUAAUAUGUCUGAAUCCUCUGCCUUUGAUUCUCCGAGAUUGGUGACCAAGAAGGUCCUUGCUAAGCUUCAGCGUGAAGGGGAUGGUGCUUCUGUCAGGAGAAGCAUUGGAAGGUAUAAUAUAAUAUAUCAUGGAUGGAUGGAUGGAUAUACAAUUUUCUUCUUGUCAAAAUUGAAUUAACUGUUUUCGUUUCUGUGGUGAAAUUGAAUGAUUGAAUGUUGAAUUAUUUUGGUUCAGGAGUGAGCUCAGGUCUCUGGACCCUUUCCUCAUGUUGGAUGAGUUUUCAGGUCUGCUUUGCUUAAUUACUUGAAACCAAAUUCCUUGAUAUUUUCUAGAAUUAGGAUGAUGAUGGAUGAUGGAUGGUAUUUAAUUUGUUGUUGCAAAUUGCAAUGCAUGAAGUCUCAGCUCCUGCUGGAUUUCCUGAUCAUCCACACAGAGGUUUUGAGACUGUUACAUACAUGCUGGAGGUACAGACAGUACUGGAGUUAAUUAUUUAUUAUGAAUUGAAGGCUGUUUUUUGUCCUUGGUAGUCUAUUUAUUGAUGUCUGUGAAAUUCGUGGGUGGCACUGGCAGGGAUCAUUCACUCAUCAAGAUUUUUCUGGGCAUAGAGGGACUAUUCAUGCCGGGGAUGUUCAAGUAAAAUAAUUCACUCAAUUACAAUACUACGACGUUUACUUAAUUAGCUAGCUUUACUUGAUCAAAGUCAAAAACUCUUUCUUUUUUUAAAGUAAACAACAACAACAACUUGUGUGUUUUCCUGUUGGGCAGUGGAUGACAGCAGGUAGAGGGAUAGUCCAUUCAGAAAUGCCUGCAGGAGAAGGAGUCCAGAGAGGCCUUCAGCUUUGGAUAAACCUCUCUUCUCAACAUAAAAUGUAUGUUUUUAUUUCCUUUUUUGUUUGUACUUUCCAACUUCACCAUUCCAACAGUUUGUAAUAUGGAACCAACAGGAUUGAGCCAAGGUAUCAGGAACUUCUGAGGCAGGACAUCAAAAGAGCAGAGAAAGACGGGGUUGAAGUCCGAAUCAUAGCAGGGGAAUCAAUGGAAAUCGAGUCUCCAGUUUAUACAAGGACCCCAACAAUGUACCUUGAUUUCACACUGCAACCAAGGUCCCAAAUGCACCAGCCCAUUCCAGAAUUAUGGAACGCAUUCAUUUACGUCAUUGAAGGUGAGGGAGUGUUUGGGAUCCCAAACUCCUCACCAGUUGAAGCACAUCAUACACUCGUUCUAGGCCCUGGUGAAGGAAUGAGCGCCUGGAACAACUCCUCUUCCAAACCCUUGAGGUUUGUCUUGAUUGCAGGCCAGCCACUUAACCAACCAGUGGUGCAGCAUGGUCCUUUUGUCAUGAACACAGAAUCUGAAAUCCACCAAGCAAUUGAAGAUUACCACUACUCCAAAAAUGGGUUUGAAAUGGCGCAGUAUUGGAGUUCCCAAUAGGGAACAAGUAAGUGCUUGGAUCACUCAAAACCAAAUCUCCACAUUCCCUCUCAACUUUGAAGAAGAAAAGAGUAAAGAAUAAAAAUACACAUCCACAAACACUAAAGGCCACACGCAUAUGUGAGUGAUACUCAUUUGUGUUCCAUCAUGUAUUAAUUUAGCUUUUAUCCUCUUCCAACCUUUUACUAUUCCAAAUCAAAAGGUUGAUUAUUGCAUUGUCACACAAAACAAUGAUAAUAAAAAUACUCAAUUCAUAUAAUCCUUAGAAUUAAUUCUUUUCAUAACUAUAGUAGAUGUUUGAACAAGUGAGAACAAAAUAUAAGCUUAAUCUUAAUAGUAAUAUCAACGGAUAAUAGCACUGUGUGUCACUUAAUUAUUACCCAUGUCGCACAUAAACUACUUAACUUUCUACAUUGCACAUAAAGCCACUUAACUUUGCUUAUGCUUGCAACAUCCAAAUUUUCAUUCAAUUUAUGGAUAGACUGAUCGAAUUGAUGAGUUCUUAUUCGAGAUCUUCUGUAUGAAUAACCUCCAACACAUUAAAGAGAACAAUAAUUUAUAAGAACUGACAGAAUAACUUAUUACUUGUUUACAGAAAAGAAUGAUAAAAUAAAAAGGCAAGAAUAGAUUAUAAUCAUGCCUUGGACACUGCUUUCGAAAAAAUAUUUCCCGAAUUUAGAACACCAAUACAACUAAAGGUUAAUCACAAUAUUCACUCAAACUCUAGUGUAGGGCUUGAAUGUUGGAACUUGGAAACUUAUGCUAUUUUGAUUCCGAUUUUGAGAGUGAAAACAAAGUUUUCUGCCCAUAUUAAUCAACUAGGAUUUCCCUUUUUAAAGAGAACGCAUCCACUAACCAACAUCAAAUCCAGAUUCUCCUUUCUGAUGAUCAUCAAUGAUAAGCAGAUAUGGGGAAGGUGGAGUUGAGCUCCCGAUUUCUAGGAAGCCAACCAAAUACUUCUGUUAAGCAUAAGUCUUGAGUAUAUGCGGUAUGUAACUGAUCAUUACUGUUACUUCAAGUGGUUAGAUAAUGGUUACAUCAUCUUGCUGUUGUCCGUUGAUGACAUGUUGAUAGCAAGUUCUAUUGUAAAAGAAGUAAACAAGUUGAAGAAACAGUUAUCUAACAGUUUACUAUUAAGAAUAUAGGAGACGCUAAACAGAUUUUGAGUAUGUGCAUUGAUCAUGAUAGGCAAGUAGGAAAGUUUUAUCUUUCGCAAGUUGAAUAUAUCAAGAAAGUCUUGAAGAGGUUCAAAAUGCAGGAUGCAAAACUAGUAAAGAUUCCUUUGGGUGGCUAUUUCAAGCUAUUUGAGAAGGAUAUGCCUAAUAAUGAUCCAGAACGUGCCCAAAUGCACGAAACACCAUACAUUUUUGUAAUUGAUAGCUUGAUGUAUGGAAUGGUGUGCACAAUACCAGAAAUUGCACAUGUAGUGGGAGUUGUCAAUAGAUUCAUGGGAAAUCGGGGGGAAGCGAUUAAGUACUCCUGAGAUAGUUGAAGAUUACUACUAAAAGGGUCUUGGGCUUUGAGGGCAAAGUAAUGUAGUUAGAAGGAUUUGUCAUCAAGUGACCUUGAUAGAAGAAGAUGUACAACAUGGUAUAUUUUUACUCUUUGAGGUACCAUGGUUUCUUGGGCUUUUAAGUUGCACUGUCUAACACUCAAGCUAAAUAUGUUGCGGUAACGAAGGCCAGCAAAGAGAUGGUAUGGUUUUAGAAUUUCUUUGGUGAAUUGGGGAAGAAGAAAGAGGAUAGCAUAUUGUACAUUAGUCUUAUACACUUGCAAAAAAUUCAGCAUUUCAUUCAAAAUCGAAGCUCAUAUUGAGUUGAUGUAUCACUUUAUGGGUUGAUCUCUUGGAAAGGAAGAUCUUACGGCUUAUGAAGAUUCUAGGAAGUGAGAAUCCUAUGGAUAUGCCGACUAAGGUUGUAAAGUUGGAGAAGUUGACACUGUGUAUGACUUUAACUGGUUUUGUAACUGAAGUUGAAGGUCAGAUGCUGCUUGUAGUAGGAAGACGUUGAACAUGGAGAACCAAUGAGAGGAGUAUGUCUUCAGGUGGGAGAUUGUUGGGUUAUGGUGCCUAAGAAACUGAAGGCUUGGUCCAGUUAGUUUGUUUAGUUAGAUAAAAAUUAAGAUUAAUCUUGUCUAUUCUAUAUAGGAUUAGAAUUAAUAUGGUAGCUCCCUAUAAAUAAUCUAUAUUCAUAUCAUUGUAAUCUGUAUCACAACAAUAGUAGUCGAAAUCCUAACUUGGUUUGUAAAAAAAGAAAUUCUAGCGUGGUAGCGCCCUAGACAUACUCUUCUCGUGAAGAGGAACUAGGUUCUUAAUUUUUCAGUUUAUGAUUGCGUUUCAUUUUUUACAGGAACGACCAGAUCCAGCUCAGAAACUUCCUCAAGAUGGCGACGUUGAAGAAGCUCUGUCUCGCUAACGCCUAACAAUGGCUUCUCUAGACUGAUUCAGACUGUCCUCACCGCUGGAAAAGGAGAUUAGAUAGAAAUCCAUCUUUUAUUCCUCUUCAUUGUUUUUAUGACAAUUUCUUCUUUUCUUUUAUAAUAGAGAACUAUUUAUCACUUUUGUUGGACAUUUCUUGUUUGUUUCCCUCAAGAACUAAUAAUUUUGGUCAAUGGGUGACCACUGAUGAUGUUGAUUCUAUAAGCUUUAGUAUUUAGUCAAAUUCUUGAGUUUUUUUCAACUAGAAAAAAAAAGAAGAGAGGUUACAGUUUCAAUUAUUAAGUUUGAAGAAUUAAAGAAAAAAAACUAGACUACAGAUAUGAAAAGGUAAUUCUGAUAAUUUUUAUUGAUGAAUUUUUUUUUUGUAAUGAGUAAGAUAAUUUUUUAGGUUUUAUAAAUGGGUUUUUGGUUAAAAAUCUCAUUUAGAUAGAGUUUUUGAUGGGUAAUUAUGAAAUUUGACAUAAAGGGUACAUGAUUAAAAAGGUGGGAAAGGAAGAUGCGAAAAGAAGGUAAGAAGGAAUCAAUUCAUGGCAAAAAAGAAAAAUAAAUAAGAGGGAAGAAAGAAGACAUAUAUUGAUGGGAGGCGGAGGUGGGAUAGGGAGGUGAGAGAAAGAUGUAACAACAAAGAAGGGUUUAGCGAAAGGUGNNNNNNNNNNNNNNNNNNNNNNNNNNNNNNNNNNNNNNNNNNNNNNNNNNNNNNNNNNNNNNNNNNNNNNNNNNNNNNNNNNNNNNNNNNNNNNNNNNNNNNNNNNNNNNNNNNNNNNNNNNNNNNNNNNNNNNNNNNNNNNNNNNNNNNNNNNNNNNNNNNNNNNNNNNNNNNNNNNNNNNNNNNNNNNNNNNNNNNNNNNNNNNNNNNNNNNNNNNNNNNNNNNNNNNNNNNNNNNNNNNNNNNNNNNNNNNNNNNNNNNNNNNNNNNNNNNNNNNNNNNNNNNNNNNNNNNNNNNNNNNNNNNNNNNNNNNNNNNNNNNNNNNNNNNNNNNNNNNNNNNNNNNNNNNNNNNNNNNNNNNNNNNNNNNNNNNNNNNNNNNNNNNNNNNNNNNNNNNNNNNNNNNNNNNNNNNNNNNNNNNNNNNNNNNNNNNNNNNNNNNNNNNNNNNNNNNNNNNNNNNNNNNNNNNNNNNNNNNNNNNNNNNNNNNNNNNNNNNNNNNNNNNNNNNNNNNNNNNNNNNNNNNNNNNNNNNNNNNNNNNNNNNNNNNNNNNNNNNNNNNNNNNNNNNNNNNNNNNNNNNNNNNNNNNNNNNNNNNNNNNNNNNNNNNNNNNNNNNNNNNNNNNNNNNNNNNNNNNNNNNNNNNNNNNNNNNNNNNNNNNNNNNNNNNNNNNNNNNNNNNNNNNNNNNNNNNNNNNNNNNNNNNNNNNNNNNNNNNNNNNNNNNNNNNNNNNNNNNNNNNNNNNNNNNNNNNNNNNNNNNNNNNNNNNNNNNNNNNNNNNNNNNNNNNNNNNNNNNNNNNNNNNNNNNAUGGGUUUGUGGUUAAAAAUCUCAUUUAGAUAGAGUUUUUGAUGGGUAAUUAUGAAAUUUGACAUAAAGGGUACAUGAUUAAAAAGGUGGGAAAGGAAGAUGCGAAAAGAAGGUAAGAAGGAAUCAAUUCAUGGCAAAAAAGAAAAAUAAAUAAGAGGGAAGAAAGAAGACAUAUAUUGAUGGGAGGCGGAGGUGGGAUAGGGAGGUGAGAGAAAGAUGUAACAACAAAGAAGGGUUUAGCGAAAGGUGAUAUAAACAAAAUUAAUUUUGUAAGAAAAUAUUUUUUUUAAUGCCAUGUCAACUAGUUUGUAACUUUUAGUGUCCAUGUCAACAAACAAAAUUUUAUAAAGUUACCAAAAUUCAAAAUUUGUGUUACGAAAAGUAUUUCUAAUAGAUUGUGCCAUUUUCGGUAAAGGCUUAAUAGGUUGUGCAUUUAAGAAAAAAAAUAUUAUUGUGUUUCUACAAUUAACAUCAAUUAUCACCAAACCAUUAAAUACUAAAAACCAAUUAAGAUAUAGUCAUGUUACAAAAAAUGACUCUUGUUAUGAUUUUUUUGUUUAUGCAAUGAUAGGAUGAGAUUAAAAGGUUAAUUUCUUUUUCGACAAAACUUGUAAAAUAUUAUUAAACUCAAUUAGAUAUAAUAUCAUCUACAGUUGGUCAAUCAAAAAAAUUGAGGGUCUAUCCACCGAAACAAUCGUGGAGUUCCAAUGAGUCUGAUUAUACGCCAUAACAUGGGUAAGCUUGUUAACUUAUCUCCGGCCAUGACGCCAAUUACCACAAUCAAACUUUGCCAAAAGGCAACGAAUUAUGGACUAAAAUCCAUGUUCGGUAUGAUGAUCUUCCACAUGAUGCAAAGUCUCAACCAUGAUCAAGCUAUCACUUUCAAGAACCACAUUAGGAUACCUAUGUUGCAAGGCCAAUUGUUAGCAAAAUCUUGCCUCGACCGCCUCAGUUAAAGUAGGCUCAUAGCAACCCUACAAUUUCAACAUAUCCGCCAUUAAGUAAUGCCGAACGCCAUCCCAGAUAACCACCCCAAUACCCAUUCUGGAUCCUGUAAUGAUAGUUGCGUUUAAGGUAGUGAAACUGGUGAGUCAACAUGGGAUCGAAAAGGGACCUAGAAUCGUAAUCGUAAAAUCAAAUCGCAAAAUCAUAAAAUUUCACGGUUCUUCAAUAAUACUAAAUAUUCAGAAAUUCACCUUAGCAUAAAGACGUAAGUUCAUUAUCCAAUCUAAAAUUAAAAAUAAAAUCUCAAAUUCACCUUAAUAGGUUCUUCAGUUGCACUACUUUGAGCUGAUUUUCGAGUCUAGGAGACCGGAGACAAAAUCUGUGAACAAAAUUGUACAAUCUUACAACAAAAAACAAAAUACCUUCGAACAAAGAACCUAAACACCAAAAAUCCAAAACUAAUCUAACAAAAACAGAAUUAGAGAAAGGAAUGGGAUGAUGAGCAAAAUCAUGGAAUGGGAUGAUGAAGAAUCAUGGAAUCAAGGAAACAGAGAUACCUUCGAGCCGUAGGAGUGGCUGGAGCGAUGGGGACGACCAAAGAGGCUAUGACGAGGACCAUUGACUCCUGGUUCUGGUCUUCUAGACUUCUGGGGGACGACCGACGGGGGAGACGACAAGAGAGAAGACUGAGGAUCGAGCAGAGAUCGAACGAGCAAUCGACGACUUGCACAAUUUUUUUCAGAAGAUAAAUGAAUUUAAGGUUCGAUUUUUUGCCCAAAAUUGAACUCGGAUUUCCGUUUCGGUUCGAACCGAAGCAUAAAAACCAGCGGUCAGCACAGAGUAGUGGACUCGUGAAUCGUUGUAAACUCGUUCGAUUCCACGAUUUUCACGAUUUUGCGAGCGAUUUCAUGCCAUUAUAAGCCAUUUUGAUUGCGCGUGAAAUCUGACUCGACGGACCUAACAAAACUCGUAAAAUCGUCGAUUCCACUUCCUUCGUUGUGUAUGUACUGAUAUGGGGUUCCUGGUUUAGUGGUUGAACCGGGGUUGGACCGUUUUUAAACCGGGUCGGCCAUUUUAAAUAUUACAUAAAGUUAAAUCGGACCGAAAAAAUAUUGGAUUGAACGAAAUCAAACUGACAGUACAAAUAGUCAAAUUUUGAGAUUUAACCUUUGAAAAUUGAACAAUUUUAAAAAAUUUAUGUACAUUAUGAUGUUAUUCUUUUUUAAGUUUAUGUAAUAUAAUGAUAUUAUCUAUAGUUGAAGUCUUCCACACAUAUAUAUCUAGAAUGCUAAAGAAACCCUAAUGGAUCUUUCAAUCUUUCUUUAAUUGGGCUCCAACUACUCAAUACCCUCUCUCACACUUUUUUUCUCUAUAGAGAAACUCUCUCCCUUUUUCAUCAGAUUUUUUUCUCCUUGUAAUCUAAUCUUAUUUUUCUAAUAUUUUCAUUCUAUUUCUUCCCUAUUUGUCUCUUUUACUUUUUUCUUUUUGGAAGGUUAUUAGAAAAAGAGGACCACUAAAUAAUUCCGUCGACGUCCAGCAAUAGGGUUUUCCAAUUUUUUCACAGAUGGAUCCAUGUUUCCAAAGUUCUUUUGUUUUUUUUUCUGAUCUGAUAGUUGGUUCUUUAACUAGUUGAAUUAUCUGGUUUUCCGGGGAAAUCGGGUCAAUCCUCAGUUUUGUUCAUUCUCCUCAACCGCUAACUCAGUAUUGAUCAAAUGAUCGGUUCACAGUCGGACCGGCCGGGCUGAUAUGGUUUUGCUAACAUUGAUCUUAGUAGAGCCGACUAGAGGCCAUUCCAACCGAGCCACAAUGGCCUCAUACGAAAAACUCCUAGUUACCCUGAGUUCUUGAUAAUAAAUAAGAAUUGGAGUGCUUGUGCUAUGAUAUCACACUCCAAUUAGUGAAACUCAUUAAGCAUACACACAUUCCUUUCUUUCCAUCAGAAUCACAUAAGCAUUACCCAUCUUUCCAACUCCAAAUUCAAAACUUUGCGGUUGCUAAGUGAGAACCAAUCGCAUCAGUCAUUAGAAUCAUCAAAAUCAACCAGUGAUCAUGUUUAGAGUUACCUCAAAUCCGCCAAGUCCAUUGGCAAUCUCGGAAAUAGUGAAUUUGCAGGCAACCUGCAAAAUGGGCAUAUAUCACCAUGUCGAGGAUUAUGCUUAUACAUAUUAUACCUGUAGGUAAAAUUUACGAUGAAAUUUUCAUAAGAACUGCUCACCUUCGACGGAAUCUACAAUGACCAAGAACAAUUCCAAACAUCCGAGUUGCAAUUUGGAUUAAGACCCACUAAAAGAAAACCGUGUCCAUUAUUACGGAUAAAACCGGCCGUUGUCACUGAUAUUUCCAUGUCCCUGCCUCGUUGUCGCGGGAAAAUCAUCCGCGACAACGGGCGCCUUCAUAAUGAGGGGUGNNNNNNNNNNNNNNNNNNNNNNNNNNNNNNNNNNNNNNNNNNNNNNNNNNNNNNNNNNNNNNNNNNNNNNNNACGGCCGCCUUCAUAAUGAGGGUUGUGGGGACUAAACUAUCCGCGAAAAAUAGGGUUGGCGCGAACCCGUUAUGACCGGUUUGGUUCAAAUAGUUAGGUUGAAAGGCAUUUUAACAAGUUUAUCCGCAAAAACGGCAAGAGAUAUCCGCGACAAUGGCUAACAACAUUUGUUUUGCCGUCAUAACGGUUCCCCUAACGACGUUGAGUUUAUCCACGGCCAAGGUUGACAUUGUUAGUUUCUCCAUCCUACCCGUAAUGGUUGUUGUGCCAAAUACUAGGCCAUAAUAUCUGCGACAACAGCUCAAGUACUGCCUAAAAUUUUGUUAUUUUUGCUUGUUUCGUCCACUGUGGGCGCCUAAAAUAAAAGUUUAUAUAUGCACUAUUCUACACAUAACACAAUAUAUACCAAUAUCAUUAGCAUAACGAUAACACAUAUGAUCAUCCAAGAGUUAAUACUAUAACAUAAUCCAUAGAUCUACUCCAACAUAAUUCCUUGAUUUUUUACCUAACUAAAGUCAUUAGUUCACUAGACUACAUCACUAUCAACCUAGAUAUAACUACACUAGAGACUCGUCAUCCUCAUCCUCGUCAUUAUGACCAAGAUCCUUAUUAGCUCAAGUAUACAAAAGAAGAUAUAUAAAAUUGAAAUUAGGUUAAAACACAUAAAAUUAAGUAACAUGAACUUUAUAACAUAUAAAGAUUACUAAUAAUUUACCCGCCACAUCGUAGUCGUAGUUCUGUUGGAUGUGGUUAUAUUAUAUUAACCGCUACAAUCGUCGUUACGGAUCAUUAUCCGUGUCCGACGAUGACCUAACCGUGACACCCGUUAUCGCGGAUAUUAUCCCCCAUAACUAAUCUACGUCAGACAUCAAAUUUUGUUGUAGUGGCCAAGCUAUUCUUUAAAGCUAGUCAGCCAGUUUUAAUACCCCUAUUUUUUCGAAUAAACAGCUUUACUACUUGAAAUCCAAAUAAGCAUUCCGAUUCUUGAACAUCGCAAUGAAUAAUUUGCACGAUAGAAGUUGAUAUAGUUGACCAAAAACAGCUUUCAAUAAGAGCAGUAUUCUACUGAUAAGUCGUUCGAUUAACCAACUCACGAACUGUAGCAUCAACAUCAAACCUCAUCGGCGUAGAGGUCACAAAAUUACCGGGUACUAACGGAAGCCAUCCGUCUCCCCAAAUUCUAACGGACAUACAAUUUCCCACCCACCACCCAAGGCCACUCCAUACAAAACAUUGAGCACCAAAAAGGCUAUGCCAUAUAAAGCUAAACCCAACUCAGCUUUAAAGACAUAAUAGAAUUUUUAAAAUACUUAGCUUUCAUAAUUCUUACAAUAAGGGAAGAUGCUCUUGAGUGUAAGUUCCAAAGAUGUUUAGCAAGUAAAGUAAUGUUAAAGCCUAAAAAAUCACAUAAUCCCAUCCUAGCUUCGGAUUUCAAACUCAAUAGAUAUUCUUGACAAAAUGAGGGAUGAGCACUGGGUCGGGUCACCCAUCAAAACCCACCCGCCUAUAAUCACUCUCUACCACUACUACCCUUUUCCCCAUCACCAUAAAACUUUGCAUGCUUGUUUGUGUGUUUUUGUAGUUUUUUUGUGUGUUUUAUGUCGCUUUUCAUCGUUUGAGUAGAGAGAGAGAGGGAGAGAGAGAGGGAGAGAGAGAGAGGGAGAGAGAGUAUUUCAAGGGUUGCAUGUCAUACCAAUGAUUAAGAAUGCAUGAUAGAAGGUCUCGAUUCAAAUUAGGGUUCGGUCGGUGUCUGAUCGAAGGACGAAUGAUGCUUGCAUUAUUUUAUUUUUACUGAAAAAUUGGGCUUCUGGAGCAGCCUUUAGAUCAAUCUCAAGGUGUGUGGCUUUGCAUAGUGUGUGUCGUUUCCUUAAGUUUCUCUCGAUAGAAAAUCGAGUUUAUGGCGUGUGAUCCCACAUGCCAUGUGACUGAUUUUUGACAAAACGAACCGACCAAAGAACAACCAAAAACCCAACCGGCUCAAACCGUAAUGAACCAGAUUGAUUUUCAAACCGAUUUUCAACCAAAUCAAACUGAGUUUGACCAGACGCAUUGACCCUUCGUUGACCGGCCGUUGCCCCCGUUGACCGGUCACCAUGGAAGAAAAAACAUGGCAGUUUAGUAGUAUUUUGGGCAUAACAUUUUGCUCGGGAGUCUGAUUGACACAAGGUCAGUGACGUUGGAAACUUGUUCAGUUGCCUACAACUUUGAUGUCAUGAUGUGGCCUAAAUCCAUGCAGUUUGUGCUCAUUUUUCUUGGUUUGGAUUGAUGGAAUUUGAGAAAGUUUGAAUUGUGGUCUUGUUUGGUUUGAUGAUUUGGUGCGAUCGUGAUCAAUUUCUUGAUAGUAUUAUAGUGAUAUGUUCAUUGCAAAUGCUAACGUUUGGGAUGGUUGUCCAAAAUGGAUAAUUCUAGCUUUGCAAUGUGAAGAUUGCUGGAUGUUGAGACGUGAUCACUUUGUCACUCUUGUAUCGAUGGCAUGUUGUUGAUUUUCAUGAGAACUUGGAAUGGCAUCAUGAUGCUUCAAAGUGUGGUUGAACGUAGGUUGUUACUAGGCCUGAGAGUCGGUUAAUUUGGUUACUAACCAUCUGCUUAAUGUUCGGGGAAAAUGAUUUGGAGAUUAAAGUUGGUUAAUCGGUUUAACUGACCGACCAUAUGUAAUGGUUAAAAAGCCGACCAAUAACUGAUAAAUCGGUUAAAUAACCAAUUAUUAACCAACAGAUUAGUCGGUUAAUCCUAUGAACUGACUUUGAUUGAUUGACCGACUAUACCGACUUAACCUAACAAGAUCUGAAUCUCCAUGCUCAUCUCUGCCAUCGAGUGAGCCACGUUCUGCUCAUGAUAACCGUUCGUCCAAGCAUUCAUACUCUACUAAGAAAGCUUGCCAUGGCCGCCACUCUGAACACCGGUCAAAGAACUGAAUACUUGUUCCAAGAUCCGAACUUCCAGAACCGUCUCCAAUCCAUCUUCCCAAUUGUAGUUUGGACAAAGUUUCCUCAUCUGAAUUUUUACUCAAUCACACAACUACAACCUACACGACAACCAUAAUCAAUAGAGUGGAGGGGGAUAGGAUGAAACAGAGGACUGGUUGAAAUUAUAUGGGCCUAUGUUGCAUCCUCAAUAGCUCGUCGUCGCCAAGCCUCACUGAGCCGUCCCCGAGAGAGGAAGAGACGUAGAGUCUAGAGAUCGUGCUUUACUAGUGCUCAACACUCAUGGAGCCGUCACUGAGAGAGGAACAUAAUCCCUAAUGAAUCGUGAAAUCGAGAAUGAACGGGGAUAAGUGAAUAUGUUUGUGUGUGUGUGAGUUUGACCUAAAAAUGGGGGGAUUGGGAAUACGACGUAGACAUUUGGGUUCAGACUUGGGGUUCUUUUGACCGAUUAAUGUUGGUUAACACAAGUUAACUGACGGGUUUUAACCGAUUCACCGUUUAACUGAAGUCAGUUUUUCUCUUUGACCGUCCCCCAACCAACCUGUAGCUCGAUUAAACCUUCCUCUAACUUAUUCGGUCGGUUAAUCAAUUUUAAACGAUUAACCGAAACUGAAUUCCUACCCUUAGUUGUUACUAGGUGCUUUUGUUGCUCCCAAUUGAUGAUUUGUGAUUAUUUCCAUGCUCAUUUAAUUUGCUUCCAUUGCUCAUAUUUUGUCCUACCAUUACCCUUGAUGACUCAUUGGUUACUCACUGUUUUGGUAAAUGGUUCAAAGAAGCAUGAGGCAUAUUACUAGUCCAUUUGUUCCUGUAAUGAUAUAUCUUUGACCUCACCUUUUGGUAUAACUUGAAUGAUGCAUACGUUGUCACUUCAUGCUUUGCAUACACUCUUUAUGCUCGUUCUUGUUCAUUGGACUUGGUCAACAUUUGUGAGGAUUUCUUUGUGGCAAUUGAUGAUAAAUGAGUUAAGGUGGUCCCAUAGCUUUUGCUUACCCUUGUCUUACUAAUUUAUGAAUUAUAGGAUGCUCUUGUUUAGGAUUGCUAGUUAGUCUUGCUUGAGAAUAACUAGUUAUCUUCUUCAUUGGUUUUGCCUUUCUUUUACAUCUUGCCUAUGCCAUGUCUACUUAUGAGCUAUUUAUUGCCUAUCGUUGCCUAAUUCGAUUGGAUGCUUAUUGAGGUGGUUCCUUAGUGGCCGUAGGAUUAUGGGUUGACACCUCUACAUGCUUGAUGUGUAUGAUUAUUCUCCAUUUCGAAAUUUUCAAUGAUACUUUAAAGUCAAAUUUGAAUGCUCUUUACAAAUGUGUCAAUUUUGGCACAGUUUUCAAGGAUUCAUCAUUUAGUGUUUAUAAUUCAUUUUCGUUUUAAAUUUUCGUUUCCCACAUUUACUUUUCAUGUUUUGUUGCUUUUAUUGUUUUAAAUUUUAUUAUUUUUAUUUUAAUAGGCUUACUUUCCUUGUAUAUCCCCAAUUGUAACUUGGUAUCCGUAUUCUCAACUAAAUCAACAAAUGACACCAAAUAACUUAAAAUUGAGAACUAUAAGAGCUCAAAAGAAGGAGAUUUAGCAGAGUCUCUUAUAGGUUUCAAAAAAGCGAGGAAGGAUCUUCAAGUGGAGAGGACCCUUUCUCCUCCCUAACUCCAAUGGCGAACAAAACUCUAGCAUUAGACCACCUAAAGUCAGACGAUAAGCCAUGCAUUCAUCUCGUGGACUUUAUCUUCUAUUGCGACACCAUCAAGCUACACGGUGUUUCUGUUGAGGUUCACAUCGUGUUCCCCUUGAGUUUCAGCAACCAUCCACUCCAAGCACCUUAAAUCAUCCGUCUUAGUUUCUGCUUGUCCCCAAACACCGUACAUCGCAUGUACUUCGUGAUUUUUCCAUUCUUUGAGGCAUUUAGCUCCUCCUUGUACAUCAUACAGUUAUGAAUAAUGCCUCGACGUUGUUGUGUGCCUGAAAUUGAUAAAAAACACAACGCAACAACAUCAAAUGGACCCCAAACGGGUAUGAGACACUAAAUCGAGAUAGAAGUUACAAAUGCACAAAACAUCAUGUCGUGAAUGUUUCGAUCCGCGACACCGAUGGCUUGAAAUAUUUCAGAGUCGCCACCAAUCUGUUGAAGCGGAUUGGACGCUGUCGACAUAACCCAGGUCCUUUUGGACGUGAGUUAGAACAGGUCUGCGGAACAGAGAUCCUGGAUUCGAGAGGCGGUUACGUGCAGGGAAGGAUUAGCACCCCCAUAGCGCCCGUCAAACCGGUACUACUAAAUUUGAUAAGUUAUGUUUUAUUUUCUUAGUUUAGUGGUUUAAUUAUGCUUUAGUUUGGACGCAUAAGGUUAUGUAAAUUUUUUAGAGAAUAUUUUUAUUCAAUUGUAAGUCUUUAUGAGUUCCCACUCUUGUGGAAAUUUUUUUUUAUGUUGAUAAAUAUUUUGAGUUGAACAUUCUUAAUUUAAUUGUUUGGAUUUACGAAUUCCCAUUCUUGUGGAAAUUUUGUUUUACGCUGGUGAAUAUUUUUAAGUUGGUUAUUUUUAAUUUAUAUGUUUGGACUCAAGUCUUACGACUGCCUACGUACCUAAUUCUUUGGGAUCAAAGAUCAUGUAGUUCGUUAUGGAAAAGUUGAUUUGAGGAUUUUUUGUAAUUUUUACUAUUAUAAAAACCACGUUAUCAUGCUCAUUUUUUAUUUGAAAGACAUUUAUUUGGUUAUUUCAAAGUUGGAACUUUAUUUGCCCACUUAUGAUUAAAUGAUAAUUCUACAAAAUUCGAAACUCUUGUCACGGAUACGAAAUUCAUAUAACAUUGCUAUAAUAUCUUUAAAGGAUUAUUAUUAAGGAAAUUUCACAUUUUUUGCCAAUCGAAAAAUUAAUUGGUUUAUAUCAGUUAACUUAAUUUGACAUAAUUAAAAAUGCAUUACAAGACGGUUAACGAACUUACAUUUAAAUAAAUAUGUCACAAGUAUUUUUGGUGAUUUGACAAUUCUAUUGUGGUUAUGUUAAUGUUAAUUAAAAUGAUACGUUGAUUUGAAUAAUUGUAAAGUUUUGAGUUUUUAAGUUUACAACUUUAAGGUAUAAAUAUCAAAUAGGAUUAAAGAAGGUAUGACGUUUAUUCUGUUAUUCUUCCACACUUAUUUCACUUUUAUUCCACUCUUAAUAUGGCCUUAAUGAUAUAUGAAUAUAAUUGAAUCGACUAAAGGCUUGGCCUUUCUAAAUUAAUUGUGCCCAAGCUCGAGCUCGGCCCAACCGAACGAUGAGCCGAACCGGCGGGUAAGAGGAGGGCAGCCCGCGUGCCAAACUGGUCGAACCGGUUAUCCACGGUUCGAUCAGAAAACUCAAAAAGAUGAAAUUGCCCCUAGCGUUCCGUGCGCUGAAGAAGGGUGGCAGGGGAAAUUUUGUAACUUCACCUUAAACCUAAUCGGCCUUAUAAAAGGGCCUCUUAAAUCGAGAAAUGACUCAUUUGCAACUUCCCACUCUCUCUUUAUCAUCCCUCUUUCUAAACCGCCGCCCUUCUCCCCCCCCCCCCCCCCCCCCCCCCCACCCACCUUUAUCACGGAGUGUGCUGUUUUUUUCUAGUUCCUUUCUCUUCUUCUCAGCCGCCCUUUUUUGCCUCCUCUUACCUCUCAGGACCCCUCUUUCUACCUCCGUUUUUUCGAUUUUUCCAGAUUUGGACUUGCAUGUCAUCGGAGGAUACUCCGGUGAGUCCUCCGGCAAAAUGCAAGUCUCGAUCUGUAGAUCUAAUGUUUUAUUUUGGUAUUAAACAAUUUUGGUUAUUUGAGGGUGGUACCGACGGGGGUGGCGGGGAGGUAGAGAAAUGGAAAAAAGAGAAAGUUAGGUAAGUAAGAUUUCUUCCCUAUUCCUUUUGAUUAAUGUCUGGUUAAUUGCUAACGAAGCUAACUACCGGUUUCUUUGAUGACUUUUUUUAUGUCUUUGAAAAUGGGCAUAGUCGACAUGUUUUGGAAAAUGAGAGGAAAAGGAGAAGAUUGCUUUUAGGAGGUAAGACAGCUAAUUUUGAACCCAUUCUAAUUUUUCUAGGUAGAAGUAACAAUUCUAUUUGUUGAUAAGUUGCAUAAGAAACUAGGUUUGUUUUGUUACUGAAGUUGUAGUAGUAGUCUAGGUGUUUUAAAAAGUUUUGUUUGAAAAACUUUAUUUUUUUUACUAUUGUUUAAAUUUUUUUAGCAACAUUGUUUAUUCCAAAAAUCCGUAUUUUAACUCGAUUUUACUAUGAGUUUCAUAGUUCUUUAGGUCUUUGGUGCGAAAAUGAUGAAAGAUGGCUAUAGGUUUCGUUGUUAAUACUUUCCAAUAACUUUUAGUUCAUUUUUGAAGCUUAUUUGAUUGAUUUGUUGGUUGUUUAUUAAAAUGAAUCAUUUAUUUGAUUAGUUGCAACGAAUCAUUGGGUUCAAUAGUAGUUUAGAAGGUUGCUAAGUGAUAUAGCAUAACAAUGUAUAUGUAUGAAUGAUGUGUGAAUGCUUCAGAAUAGGGAUGUUUUGAAUGAUUACCUUCAUUCAAAAUUUCUCUUUUAUCGUAUUUCAGGUGGCGGCGCCUAUCGUGAGUGACGUCAAACCGAUUUGGCGGCUUCUAUGUGUAUGGCGACAAAAGAUGUUGUAAAACUUAUUUUUUUACAGUUUUGUAAUUAUUUCCCGGGACUUUGAACGAGUGAUGUUGGUGUAUUAUUUUUGGGGGUUUUGGGAAGAACUGGGGGACGAAUUUUGAAAACUGUAAGCUCCUCUUUUUGCUGAUUUUUGUCAGUCCAUUUAAAUGCAGAAAGGGCUACAGUCACUUCUUUUAACCAACCACAUCUUGCAAAGUUUUCUGACAAAAAUAAAAGGUGGCAGCUCCCCAAAUAAUAACCGUAACGGGCCCGAUAUUGGGCUUGAAAUAAGGCCUGGAAUCGGGCCCGAAAUCAAAUUGGGUCUAACACAUAAAUAGUUUCGAGAUAAGGGAUUUUGCCGAAUUUCGAGAUAGCGGACUUGAGGUCCACUCAUUUCGGCCGUUUCCGUUUAAAAAGAUCUAAAACAAAAUCGGCUUAGAACAGUCUGUAACAUAAUAAUUACAUCUCGAAAAUAUGCUAUUUGGCUACCAAGUUCUCCCCUAACGUGCACUUUGAUUAAUUUAACUGAAUAAACUUCGCAACAAGUAAAAUCUCGACGCUAAAUCCUUCCUAGAGAUGCUACGACUAUUUAGUGAAAUGACACUGGCGUGCAUUCUUCACUCGAACGAAAUUUGGUUACUACAGUUGUCCCUCUUUGUAUUACUUUCGCUUGGAAGUGGAAAGUGGUACAAAGACAGAAACCAAAUUUCGGACGAGCGCCUGAACUUCUCACGUCAAGUCCACUAGGGUCCAAGGAUCUGCCACAACAUCGGGUAGAAAACAAAAUUUGCAACCUGACCACACAAACAACAUGCAAUGCAUUUCCCUAUGGGUGUUAGGGUGAAUGUACUAGGGACUCAGCUUGACUUAUCUCCCGUUCCAUGGGUUGACUAUACUAGGGACUCAACUCGACUUAUCUCCUGUUCCAAGGUGCAAUCCGCUUUCCCCAGGAUGCUAAGGGUUGAUGUACUAGGGAUUCGACUAGACUUAUUUCCCGUUCCAACGUGCGAUCCGUUUGCCUUAGGACGCUAAGGGUUGAUGUACUAGGGAUUCAGCUUGCUUAGUUCCCGUUCCAUGACUACAAAUGUGUUGAUGAUGAAUGGUUUCGAAAGAGUUUGAGUAAGGCUCCCCCUUUUUGAAAAAAACAUGCAUCUGAUGGCAAUGCUUGAUUGAUAUUUUUCAUCAUUUUCACUCCGACGAGAUUCACUGUUUUGUUUUCUUGUCGCUUAGUUCGCACUACGUGCUAGCGCAAUGGUGUCAACCCUGCUGAUAGCUGGGUAACCUUUAAUGUAUGUGCCCAUUUUUCUUUGUUUUUCCCCCGACGUCUUCAUAUUAUUCCCAUGCCUUGGGAUUUUAAGGAUCUCUUUCCUACUUUGUCUCUACUUCUAGAUAUAAUGGUAAGAUAACGACGACCUUUGUAAAUUUCUUUCUUCGGUUAGGAAUAAGUGGAGAAAUCCUGCCAUCCGGGCUUCUUUUCUUUAACCCUUCCCUUUUACUAAUUUUUUCAUUCUUUCAACGGUUUUCAUUAUUAUUACUAUUAUUUUUCUCCCUUUUGUCUUCACUUUACCGCUAAUUUCAUUUGAAAAGACCUCCUAAUGAUUAAUUAGAGCGAAGGUGUUUGCACGAACGCAUUUGCCUCAAGUUCCUGUGGGGUGUUGUACCUCAUCCAUUUUGUUUGGUGAUGCGUGAACAAUGGUUAGGAGAGUAGUAUUUGAGAAUUCAUGAAGUAUCCAAAACUUAAAGUUGACUUAAAUUAUCACUUUAUUGAUGGAAAACCGAUCACGUAGAUCUCCGUCAGGAACUUUAAGCAUAGUACUUGUUUACUGAAUAAGAGUUAAAUAGGUAAGGGAGCUUGUCUCCGUCCAUGUUUGCCAGUAUUAAUGCCCCCCUGAGAAAGCCCUUUCCCCUACAUAGGGCCCUUCAUAGUUCGGCUUCCACAUUCCUCUUGGGUCCCCUUGUCAAAUGGAAAUCUUCUUCGUUACCAACUCUCCUUCGCGAAAUUCCCGUGUUUCACUUUUUUUUAAAAGAUCUGAUAAAUCUGCACUGAUACAGGCGUUAGUGGUGGAUAGCUGCCAACCUUUUCUCAUCAAUUUAAUUUAACUGGUCGUAUGCCGCUUUUACCUACUCAACUUGUUCUAACUUCGCCUCCAUGAUAACCCUUAGUGAAGGCAUUUCUACGUCCAUGGGAAGCACUGCCUCCAUCCCAUAGACCAAUUGGUAAGACGUCGAUCCCGUUUAGGUUCUUACUGAUGUUCAGUAACCGUGCUGGGUAAAUGGUAGAAUUACGUGCCAAUCGCGGUCGGUAACGACCAUUUUCUGUAUGCUUUUCUUGAGGUUUAUUGUUUGUCAGCUCGACCGCUCCGUUCAUCUUUGGUCGGUAUGGUACCGAGUUGUGGUGCUUAAUCUUAAACUUGUUGCAAAGCUCAUGCAUCAUCUUGUUGUUGAGAUUUUUCGCAUUGUCGAUUAUUAUUCUUUCCAGGAGCCCAUACUAGCAAAUGAUUUCCUUUUGUAUGAACUUUUUGACAACGCUCUUGGUAGUGUUUGCAUAUGACACAACCUCGACCCAUUUCGUGAAAUAGUCGAUGGCUACUAGGAUGAAACGGUGCCCAUUAGAUGCUUUUGGUUCAAUCAUGCCUAUGACCUCAUGAUGCAAAAGGCCAAGGCGAUGCCAUAAUGUGCAACGAUGAUGGAGACACGUAUUUCUCACCGGCAUAAACCUGGCACUUAUGGCAUUUUCUCACGUGUUUUACAUAGUCAGAGUUCAUCUUCGUCCAAUAGUAACCCAUCCUUAAUAUCUUCUUAGCUAGCGCAUGACCACCGACAUGUGUGCCGCAGACUCCCUCAUGGACUUCUUUUAUUGUUCUCUGAGAUUCAGGGGCAGCUACACAUCUUUGCAGCACAAAAUCAUGGCUUAGUCUGUAGAGGGUAGUCCUAUGAACAUAGUAACCCAUCUCCAAUCUCCGUAGAGUCCUUUUAUCAUUUUCAGAUGCCCUAGCUGCGUACUCCCUUUUAUGUAGGUAGGUCUUUAUGUGAUGGUGCCAGGGAUUCCUCAUGCUCUUUUUGGACUCUACCUAGGUAGGCAGGUGCAUUUUUCUUUUUGAUUUUGCUUCAUGGGUUAACCUCGGUCUCGUCCAGUUUGUACAUCGAGGACAAUGUGGCGAGAGCAUCCGCUAUUUGAUUGUCGACUCGCGAGAUGUGCUCAAACUGUAUCGACUCAAAUUUUGCGGCCAUUUCCCCUAUGUAUUUAUGGAAUGGGACAAGCUUAUGACCCCUAGUUUCCCAUUUUCCUUCAACUUGUAUAUUACUAGCGCUGAAUUACCAUAUGCCUUCAAAUUCUUAAUAACCAUUUCGAGGGCUCCUCGGAUCCUGAAAGUGCACGAUUGGCACUCUGUUAUGUUGUUGGUGCAAUCGAAGCAAAUUUUGGCAGUAAUAGGGCACACCCUCCCUUCAGAAGAGACAGAAACGACGCCGACGCCCUGUCCCAAUGAGUUUGAGGCCCCGUCAAACUUCAUCACCAAUGUUUUUUGGACGAAGCCUUCCACUAAUUUCUCAGUGUUCAGUAUAGUUUCAUCCGGAAAUUCCAUUAACAUCGGAUUCGUGUCCGAGAUUGCAUGCUCCGCUAGAUGUUCUGCCACUACACUCCCUUCAAUGGCCUUCCUUCGGAUAUAAACGAUGACGUAUUCUGCCAGCAGCACUUGCCAUUAGCCUAUCCAUCUGGAGAGGGCCAACUUUUCGUGGACAUCCUUGAUAGGGUUCAUUUUUUAUAUUAGGAGCUUCGUGUGAUAUAACAUGUACUAUCUCAGCCUUAUGGCUACCCAUACAAGUGCUCCGCAAGUUUUCUCGAGCGAUGUAUAUCGAGAUUCGUAGUCAUGAACUUCUUGCUGGUGUAAUAUAUUGGCGCGCUCUUUCCUUCCCGAUUCAACAUGUUGGGCCAACAUCGCGCUUACCAAAUUUUCAAAUACCGUGAAGUACAAUAUUAGUGACCUUCUAGAAGUUGGUGGGGCCAGAACCGGAGGGUUUAAUAAACACCCUUUGACUUUCCGAAAGGCAUGAUGACAACCUUCAUCCCACUCGACAUUCCGGUUCUUCUUUAAAAGCUUGAGAAUGGGUUCACACGUUAAGCUCAAAUGCGAUAUGAACCGACUAAUGUAGUUCAAGCGUCCUAAGAAUCCUAGCACCUCUUUAUGCAUUUAGGGAGGAGGUAUGUCAACCAUUGCCUUCACUUUGUCAGGGUCCACUUCAAUCCCCUUUUGGCUAACCACGAAACCGAGCAGCUUCUCCGAGGUGACUCCGAACGUACACUUUUCUGGGUUCAGCCAGAGCUGGUACUUCCCGAGUCGCUCGAGCAAUUUUCAUAGCACAGUUACGUAGUCGUCUUCCUUUUAUAACUUUGCUAUAAUGCCAUCCAGAUAUACCUAUAUUUCUUUGUGUAUCAUGUCAUGAAACAGUGUGACCAUGGCCCGCUGGUAAGUUGCCCUAGCGUUCUUCAGCCCAAAAGACAUAACUUUAUAGCAAAAGGUUCCCCAUAAAGUGAUGAUGGUCUUUUUUUCUCGAUCAUCCGAAACAUCCUGAUAUGGUUGUAUCUUGAGAAACUGUCCAUGAAAGAGAACAUAUUAGUUGACGGUAUUAUCAACGAGGACAUUUAUGCGAGGCAAAUGGAAGUUGUCCUUUGGGCUUGCCCUAUUUAAAUCUCUGUAGUCUACGCACAUUCUCAUUUUUCCAUUCUUCUUAGGCAUAGGGACCAUAUUAGAGAUCCAAUCGGUGUAUUACGCCACCUGUAAGAACCCGAUUUCGUAUUGUUUCUGCACUUCUUCCUUAAGUUUGAGUAUCCAUUCCGGUUUCAUCCGCCAUAACUUUUGCUUUACUGGCUUGCACUCCUCCUUUAUUGGCAAGUGAUGUGUUACUAUUGUUCAUCGAGGCCCAACAUAUCUUGAUAAGACCUUGCGAAAACGUCCUAGAAGUUCUGGAGUAGUUUGACGAGCCUGUUCUUUUCUGCUUGGUCUAAACUGUCCCCUACCUUAACCUGUCGCCGAUUGUCCUCUGUUCCCAAAUUCACGACCUCUACUGACUCGUAGAAAGGUUUCAAGGAUCGCUCUUCUUAUCCUGCCAUCCAAUCUGUUUCUAGGUUAGAACCAUCACUGGCUUCCUCGGUUUCCAUCUCAUAAACUGGGUGGUGAAAGUCAACUUUAGUGUUUCGUACCUCUUCAUUGUUUUCAAACACAUCUGUAACCCUGUUACGUGACGGGAAAUAGAAAAGGGAAAAAGAAGAAAAGCGGAAGUGAAUAAUAUAGACGAUGCACGGAUUGAGACUUAUGAAAACAUGCUUUAUCAAACAUGUGAAAAUGUGAUACAUGCAUUCAGGAUCACUUAAAAAACACUAGGAAGCCCUUGCUUAUUUUAUUUAGUAGUCAUAUUUUAGAGUUAUUACAUCUGCAAUGGCGAAAGUAACUCCAAAGCCUCCCAAUUGCUUAGCUCUUCCUUUGGACGGAGCUGCCGCACCCAUUUUAUUCCGGUCAUAAUUCCCGUACCCAGCAUGCUGAUGAAGAGAUCUGCAAAAUCCGACUGUAACUCUUUGGUGGUCGGAUCAGUGUAGUUUUUCCUCACAUUUAUCUUUCCAGCAUUCUUGCUUGUGAUGUGAGGUAUGAAAGUCAGGCCUUCAUCAUCUUCUGUCCCACUUAACCUGGACACCCUCCUCCUUAUCCGUUCCUUUUGGAUCCUCCUUAUAUCAUCAUCGUUUAGAAUGUAUCGCAAUCCCGCACGGUUCUUAUUUUCUUUGACCUGGAUGGGUUCUUUCAGCACCUCCUGCCAUUAGUAUCAUAGAUUCCAUACUCGAUAUUAAUCUAACCGAUGUCUCGAGACUAAUUAGAGUUAAUUACCAAGUGCAUUAAUAUAGUACAAUGAUUAAUCUGAAAAUUAAUUCCAAAGCGGAUCGACAUUCCGCCCCUCUCUCAAGUGUAGCGGAGACGACGAUAGACCUUGGCGUUUGGGGAUUUAGUCUCACUUUCGUAUCUAAACCAAAUCCCAACAAUAAUCUUACAACUGGAAUUCGACAAUUACAAAAUAAAGCAGUAGCUAUAUGCAAGAGAAAGACAAUAACGAAAUUAAUGAUAGUUCCGCUUAACACAAUCGAAAUUAUGUCGUAUUAACACAUAAUCAAGGUUUCAUCAAUUUCGGACAGACAGCUUAGUUACACAUGGUGAUCAAAUUAAAAACACAGAAAUCAAGAUAAUACAUGAACCUGGAGCUCCAUGCUUCAUGAACGCUCUGCCGUCGUAAAAUUCAGCAAUGUAGGCGGUCCGAACGGAAGUUCCGAAAUGGAUUUCUUCACCUUCGGAGCUCGAAAUUGCAUGCGGUUUGAAGUGGCAUGUUCCUGGGUUGAAGAAGGACGUCUUGGGGCAGAGUAGGAAGGCUUGCGGGUCUGAUAUGGUGUGUGUAUGGUGUGAUUUCGAAGUGGACAUGACUUGCCCUUAUAUAGGCUCGAAAAAUGGCGUAUUAAGGCCUCCGACAUGGGCAUACCAACUCCAUCAUCUGUAUGCAAGCUGUAGCUGUCCCUGGACUGAUGAUGGACGGAUCUACAUGUGCUGGACGUCCUCAACCAUGCCCGGUUAUCCUUCCGGCGAUCGGUUGAGCGGUGGAUUGUAAAACGGGUCGUAACUUCUUCGUUGCAAAUCUGAUUUAGCUCCGGUUUGUAUCGUUGGAUUUUUAAUUCAUCCCUUUAUAAUACGUGACCUGAAAUUUUAUUAAACACACUAGAAGAAAUAUAAAAUUGGACCAUAAAGGUCCAAGGGUUGAAUUUACGGAAUUAAGUGCAAUAUAACUGAUAUCCGUCGAAACUUUUGUUUGCAAUUGAUAUUAUGACUUGAAGUGUAGAAAGUUUAGUGCCAAAUAUUACGGUAUGUUAUGAUGUGAUCAAAAUACCCCACACUUAAACUUUUCUUGUCGUCAAGAAAACUGUAACUUAACCCACACGAAAUACCAAAGAUAGUUACCAUCAUUUAUACAAGGUUUAGGAAAUGUAAUUUUACAAUUUACGAUGCAACAGAGGUUAAAUGCUUGGCCACAUCGGUGAGAUAAAUCUCUAGUUAGAAAUUCACGAGACAGUGCACACCAGAUUAAUCAAGAUUCAAAUGCUAAAAAUAAAAGGGUUAAAUGCAUUUGUUGCAACUAUAAGAUUCAUUUUGCGCUUCCUUACGAAAUUAUGAAAUUUUAUUUCUUUUUUAAAGUUUCAAAAUUUUGAAUAACCCGUAGCCGAGCAAGACUAGUGAGUACUAUACUCAACCUUUUAACACAUUUCAUUCUUCCCACACACACCUCAAUUAAGUCCCGUAUGGGAGGCAUCUAAACUGGCUGCCUAAUUGGCAGGGCAGCUAAUGCAGAGGUGCUAGUCCUCUACCACACGCGUUAAGUUAAUCAUUGAAUUAUUGAGACAAAUUAAAGAAGCAUUUUGAUUUAAACAUUUUUUUAUGGCGAAAGUUGAAUCCAGUUUUGAAUUUGCAGAUUUAAACCAAACAUUUUAAGCAUUUGCAUCAAUUAAUCCGAGAUGUACUAAAUACAAAAAUGAAAGUCUAGUAAAAACAAGUGGUCAUUCCGCAACAACUACCAUGUCACCCAUAAUCGUUACAUUCCCAUUGUCUAUUUUAAUGUGAUCCCUAAAUUGGUAGAUGUGUAACCGCUAGUACUGUUUGUGAGGAGAUUAAAGUAAAGUACGGAUGAAAUGUUGAAAAAAAUUUAAAACACCUCUCGUUACACCAUCACCCAACACUUGAAUUAUACAUUGCCCUCAAUGGACUAUGAAUCUGGGAUAAGAGGGAAACAAGUAUACCGAGAUAUCGAGAAUGACAAUGCCAAAGUAAACUGCUCUAUAAUACCUGUCUGUCGGAUGAUAACGGUAACACAGUGAUAACAAAACAAAACAAAACUCAAAACACAUUUGGCAAAUGCCACAACUAAAAAUCAUACUAAAUCACACCACACAAUGAUGCAGAUCCAAGAUAAAUAUAUUCGAAAAUGUUAAUAUUUUGAAAUACAUCAAAAAGAAGAAGAGAAAAAUACACAUCCUAGAUCGAAAAAUCAAUCAUAACUAUCGGAUCAUAUUCAAAAUUUUGGGCAGAGUCAAGAUGAUUUUAAGGGUCUUGGAUGAUUUUAUUGAAUGAAAUAAGAAACUUGGGUUGUCUCCCGAGGACCACUUUUUUAUCGUCUUUAAGUUAGAAGUUUCCAAGAAAAUUAUUUAAUUAGCCAGGUGAAACACCUCAUGGAUGGUGAGAGAGUCGCUCGCAAGGUAGAGUUUCAACCGAUGACCAAUAACUUUAAACAUACCAUGAUCAGGGCUCGAGAUUUCAACAAUUUCGUAAGGAAGAACUUCAGUCACUGUGAAUGGGCCCAACCAAUGGGAUUUAAUUUUCAUGGAAAGAGGCGAAUCCUAGAAUUAUAUAGGACUAUGUCUCCCGGACGAAAGUGUUUUCCAGGUUUUAACCUUGCGUCAUGAAGACGCUUUGUCUGUUGCUUAUACAAAUUGCCAUUUUAAUAGGCAUGAAGAUGGAAUUCCUCCAGUUCAUGUAUGUGGAACUGAUGGCGAGGUCCAGCGACACUCAUAACAAGGUUUAGAGAUUUAAAGGCCCAUAAUGCCUUAUUCUCUAACUCAACAAGCAGAUGUCAUGCCUUUUCGUAGAAGAGACGGUAAGGGGUAGUGCCGAUAAGAGUUUUAAAAGUGAUAUGCCCAAAGUGCAUCGUCCAACUUUUUUUACCAAUCCUUGCGAGUCCAGGUGACAGUUUUCUCCAAAAUCUACUUAAGUUCUCGGUUCGUUACUUUCGCUUGACCACUAUUAUGUAGGUAGUAACCAGUGGACAGACGAUGAGUGAAACCAAAGCGGCGACACACAUGAUCAAACUGUCCCUGACAGCGGGUUCCUCGAUCGCUGAUGAUAGUGCGAGGUGCUCCAAACCGAGUGAAAAGUAGUUGCACAACUGGCUUAUAAGCUAGCCUCUUCCAUAAGAACUUUGUGGGUAAAAAAAGAGGGAGAGAUGCUUCGAAUAUCAUAGAUUUUCCAAGAAAUGGCCUUAAUAUGCUCUUUUAAAAGGGUGAUGAGACGUCCCUUUUAUUCCGGAAUGAGGGAGGCAAUGAUACUGACUAGAAGCUUCGAGUAAUCCAUCAGAAAAGCAUACUUGAGGUGCUCCGGUAGUGCUUUCAUCUUCAAUAUUGGAGGCUCCUCAUAUGAGGGUUUGACGGGCUCAAUCCUUGAGAGCUUGACAGGAGGUUCAGGAGCAGAGUCUUAGCAAUCUGCUCAAGUUGUUGUACCUCAUCAGAAGCAUCCCAAACACCAAAAUAAAAGGCACAACUCGAGAGGGUCUUAGCAAAUGCCCUCAGAUAAGAAGAAUACUGAUCCAACCUCAAUGGAGUCAGCAGGAUAGUUUCAGUCAUCCUGGACAUGGGCAUAUUUCAUCCUGUCAGCAUGGCGAAAUGUGGCCUUUCCUUGACCUACUUGAAGAGUAAGCUCGCCUUCAUGGACAUCAAUGAUGGUGCGAGCCGUAUUUAAGAAUGGGUGGCCAAGAAUGAGGGAGGCAUCUGAUUCAUUGGUGUCAAUGAUAACAAAGUCCACCGAAAAGACAUAAGGUCCCAUCUGCAUAAGUACAUCUCUCAGGAUUCCACGACAAAUUCGAGUGGACUUGUUAGCCAACAGGAUGGUCAAUUGAGUCGGUGUUGGUUCUCCUAAAUCGAGCUGUUGGGAUAUCUUGCAUGGCAUUAGAUUGAUACUUACCCCAGAGUCAGCCAAAGUCUUAUCCAUGCAGGUGUUGGUGAUAUAGUAACAUAAGGUGAAAGAAUCGUGAUCCUUAUGUUUCUUAGGUAGCUGGUUCAGAAUGGCAGCAUAACAUUCAACAUCAAGAGUAACAGACUGAAUCUCAUCCAAUUUUCUCUUAUUGGUCAGAAUCUCCUUUAGAAAUUUCGAGUACUAGGGCAUUUUGGUAAUUUCCUCAAUAAACAGGAUAAUGCCAUUUGCCGUAAUCAUAAGUUCAAUGAACCUUUUGUAACUGGCACCCAUCAUAUCACUCCUUAGACGAGAAGGAUAAGGAGGUUUUGGUUUGUAGGGUGGUAACUCUGGCUUAGGGGGAGAUGGUUACAGUAGCCUUUGGAUAGGUGGCCGAGGUGGCUUUCUCAUCCUUCUUCUCGACGCUAAAGUCAAUGAUCAGCGUUGGAGGAAUGAUGACAGGUGUGGACUAUGGAAUGGGAGGAUCCUUACUGGUGGUUCCACUCUUGAGGGUGACACCUUCACAAGAUUCCGAAGUGUCAAAUCCUUCAUUAGUAACAAAGAUUGCUUUUGAUUCUUCUUGCAUAGAAUUGUUUUCUGUGUUGCUAGGGAGAGAGCCUUGUGGUCUCUCACUAAGAAUUUUGGAAAGAUUUUUCAAUUUCAAUUCAAUGUUAUGGAAAGUGGUUUGUUGCCCACGGAUAAUCUUUUCCAACCUCUCGAGUCUGGAAACUUCAUCAGACUUGGAUGUAGAAGAGGCUUGAAUAGGCGGUUAUUCAGGCUUUUGCCCAAAACCAGGAGGUCAUUGGUUAUUAGUAUAGUUCCUCGAUUGAUAGCCUUGAUUAAGACGAGAGGCAGAGUUUCCUUGGUUGAAGGUUGAUCUGUAAUAGGCAUGUUCAUCUAAUUUGUGAAUGUUUUGCUGUUGUGACGGUCCUGAGCAUUGGGUAUCAUGGUUGGUUUGGUAAGAGUUUUGGAAAGACUUGGAUUUAACUUGAUUUCAAAAGUUUGAGUUUUAAUUUUGACCAAAAAUUUAUCAAUCUUGUGGGUAACCACCACCCAAAAAGUCAACUUCUUCUGUCUGGUUAAAAACGGUAUCCCCAGAGUAACAGUCAGUAGAAUCACAUCCUUGAUCCCCUCAAGCAACAUAGACAAAGAUUAUUGCCGUCGAAUUCUAUAGGGUCCUGACGUUCAGCUUGCUCACUUUUUGAGAAAGCGCAUGCAGCUGAGAGAGAACGGGAGAAAUAACCGUCCCAAGGGUUUCAUGACGAAUCACAAAGGAUGAAGUGGUAGGCGGGGUGCUAUGAUGCUUCCCAUGUUGCCUAGUCAAAGUAUGACUACACAUAUCACAUCCAGCAGCCAGGUUGAUCAUUUGUGUGCUUUCCCGAUUGAGCCUUCAAUUGAAAAUAUCGGCUUGGUUUCGGUCAUCGAAGCUGUGAUGAGCGCAAGAGCGGAGGAGGGCUUGGAAUCGAUUGCAUGCUUCAUAUAAUUGUUCAUUAUCUCAUUGCAUGCAAUGGAUAAUUCUCUCUUUUAUCUCACCGCGCUUCUAUGGAGGAAAAAAUACCUUGAGAAAGGCUUUAGCGGGACCGUCCCACAUGGUAAAACUCCCUACUGGUUGAGAAACAAGCCAGAUUUUUGCAGCUCCCUUGAGAGAGAAAGGGAAACGCUAGAGGCGAAUGGCAUCAUGGUGCACCUGUUGGAGUUGUAAGGUGUCGCAUAUUUUGAGUAAGUAUUUGAUAUGUUGGGUGGAGUUAUCGUCCUCUUUCCCCAAGAAUUGGACUGUUUGUUGGACCAUGUAGAUCAUAGCGGGUCGCAAUUAAAAAUUGUUGUCUUCGACGUGGGGUCGGGCGAUGGAGGACCCCAGGUUCUAGAGACUUGGUUUGGCAUAAUCGCCAAGUGUCUUCUCUUCAGCCAUGGUGAAGGAUCCUUUGGGGGAAAUGCUUACGUGAUCUUCGCCAGAGUACUCAUCCUUGGAAUCCGUUCUACCGAGAGCCGGAGGUGCAAUUGUAAUUCCUUCAAGGACAUGUUUAGAAAAUUACCAAGUAAUCCGUCGAGUCAUUCAUUUGACCGAAUAGGAGUUUGGAAGAUGGGAGGAGAGAGGGAAGCAGAAUGAAUGAAUUCGUUGAGUUUUAGGUUUUGGAGGUUUGAAGAAGAAGUUUCGAGAGAGUGUUAAAGAAGGUGAGUGGGAAGAUUAUGGAGUACUUUACUUAGAAACGCCGCCUUGUUGCCAAAACCAAAACUUUCAUUUCAGUUCCAAGGAAAGUAGGGGAGUCACUCAGACUACUUAAAUCCCUUUAAACUUUAGGUAGCAUCUCUUUACGAAAGCCAAAAUAAUCCUCUCAUCUUUUUUAAUUCUCCUUUCUUAUGAUUUUAAAUUUUUUCUAUUUUUCUAUUUUUAGUGUUUAAAUUCAUAUAAAUGAUUGGUAGCAGAUUUUUUUAUUUUUUAAUUAUUUAUUUGGAUUUUUUUGUGGAAUAGGAAAGAUUCGGAGAUGAGUGGAAGAUAUGGAAAAGAUUGAGAGUUCAGUUGAGCAAGAUAAAAUAUUGAAUGGCUGAAAUGUAGAGAGAGAAAAGUUGAGUGACCAAGAGGGGAGCAUGGGAAAUAGUAUCUAGAAAAUAAAUAUAAAAUAAUUUAAGAAAAAGUAUUAUUAUUAAAAGUGAAAAUUUAGUAACUGUUUCGUACAAAAGGAACGAGGUCCACGACAACGACGCCAAAAUUUGAUCACCCCCGUAGGCAAGUUUAAAGAUAAACUCGGAAAAACCGAGGUCGUAUUCACGCGGAUUCAUUCCGAGUAUUACUCCUGAAAGUGCGAAGAUGAAAGUCUAAUCGUUGGAAUAGCGGGUAUGAAAGCACACAAAUCGCAAUCGAGUAUAAUGGAUGAGUGAAACCUGUCCGGAAAUGAAUUCACCAAGAAUCAGAGCAAGGAUGGUCAUUGUAACCCUUCUUCCUUGUUGCAGUUUCAUCAUGAUAGGCUACACCUUUUGUUGUUAGAUUAGGGAUGAUGUGGAUGCAAGGAGAAUCCCCUCAUAAUGAGGGAUUGGACAAGAUUUGGAUGAUUUGUGGGCUUGCUUUGGAUGAAUGUAGGGAGAUUGAUGCAUGUACACACUUGAUUAAACUAGGAGUGUAUCAUUGAAUGAGAAAUUGGUAGUAUACGAGGACCUUCCAUACCCAAUUCAUCCAUCUUUUUUUGUAAAUUGCAUUGACGCAUUUAAUCAAACAUUUGGCGUGCAUUUUGGUUCUUUCUUAGUGGACCAAACUAGGUUUAGAUAGAGUCAUUGGGUGUUGAUGUGACCACAUUAGCAUCCUUCAUAGGUGUUUGGGGUGCCUUAUUUCCUUGUGCAUCAUCAUAUUAUUCCGAUUGAACAUCAUUGAAUGCACUUUUGGCUUAUAAGUUGUUUGUGACCACAACAAGUUAUAAGGUCCAUUGGUACUGUUAGAUAUGACCAUGCAUAUAGACUUUAACGAAUAGGAAUGCAUGGAAGCUUGUAUAGUUUGGUACCUAACAUUACACUUUGGUCAUAAAAUACCCAUCACAUAAUCAUAAAAUAUUCAUAACAUUUGGUUUAUGUUUUUCUCGCAACUCUUUUUGUUGGAUUUAAUAAUCACCACCAGGAUGCCGUUUUUAGAGUCUGUUUAAUGUAUGAUGAUAGAAUUAAAUCAUUUGAUUGGUUAUUCCGUACAUUUUUACAGUGCCUGUGAGGGAAGGCACCCAAACCAUUUUCUCAAAUCAGGACCCGACCAUGGAUGCGGCAUUGAAGAGUGCCAUGCCAAAUACAUACCACGCGACGGCGGUGGGGUAUGAUAGGAAUCCUCUGUCGACACACCCUAACUGUGAUGCAUGUCAUCGGGAGGUUUGAAAGCGAGAAGUUCAACACACUUCCCGCAUAUACAUGUUGAGGAGAUGGACUAGAGGAGCCAAAAUUCGGUUUCAUGACAUAGUUAUUACGCGGCUCCUCUCUCAGGAUGGUGAGGAUGGUGAAAGACUUGCUGAAGUUUGUUUCUAUGAUUAGGGUUGUUUAUAGGGUCGAUCAGUUUCAUAAUAUGUUGGAUGUUGUGGUAGAUGGGUUGGCCAUUCAGGUAUGCAGUAAUCAAAGUAUACUUAUUUGUUAUAUUCACCGUACAUGACUUGUAUAUGGUCAUAAUAUACCUAUUAUGAUAGUGGUAUUUCUGUAGGUUGAACAAGCAUUGACCUUGUAUGAUGGACAACAGCCAAGGGAAACUGUGGUGGCAGAUAGAGAUACCACCAGCGUUGCAGUCGCUACGUGUUGUAGUAGUGUGAUCAGGAGAGAGAUUGCAACGAAGUACACCCCGCAGAGCAGACCAAGUAAGAACAACCAGCGUGGGAAACAUAUCACAGAUACGGUCGCAUGAGGCAGUGUAACAAGUUUAGGAAGAUUCGUGCAAAGGAAGUUCAAUCCGAACAAGCAGUCGCAAUGGACGUGGAAAUGGAGGACUUACUCAAUAAUGAUGUUAUACAUCAGUGCAUCGCAUUUUUGCAGGCACAGGAGAGCACCACUGCUACUGGCAACCCCCCUCGAUUGAGAGUGGCCCUUGAUAGGGUAAUCGUUAAUUAUUUAAUGGUCAUUAUGGAGAAAAGCCUACCUGUAACGCUAGCAGAACUGUAGCAUUAUAUAUGUACACUAGUCACGUAGUUAUGUAAGAACAUUGCCAUAUUAUGGGUAGAUCAGUGACAUAUUUUUGGUAAAACAGUACCAUAUUUUGGUAGCACAGUCUUGUAGUGUUGGAAGAAUAGUGGCAUAUUUUGGGAUGUAGAAGAAGACACAUUGUUCGGAAUUAUAAUAUUAUAUGUGGUGCUAGUAUUGACAUAUUCUGCUACAAGGAUUACACCAUGUGGUAGGUCCACUUCAAGGAAUACAACAAGGAUACUACUGUUACCCUAAACAAUAGGCAUAACAUCAAUGUACAAUAGCCAUAACAACGUUACACAUACUUUCUUAGGUUCAAACUGCCAACCAUUGUUCUUCAAAUGGAAAAUGUGACCUUCAUCGCCAUGGCACUCAAAUGGAAGGCCGUCUGGAUGCUCUGAUAUGAUAGUGCGAAUGACGUUCCCUGCUUCCUUGAAAUUGACUUUAGCCUUCCAAAAGGUAUCCUUCCACAUUUCAAUCCGACUGACCAAGUCAACGUGGCUGCUCCUUUUGUCUCCAGAGUGAAUGAUACCUUGGUCCACGAGGCUCCCCUAUCAAUGAUUUCCAUGCAUAAUACAAACACCCACUACUGUACUAGUAUCAACCAGAACUGAAAGUAUACAUAUCAUUUUUCAUAUUCAUGCAACCUUACUUUCCAAUCGUGACAUUCUAGUAAGUCUCUUGUAAAGCUCCCCAUACACAUAAACUAUGCUCUUAAAUAGGGCAUAAUUCAGAAACCAUUUAUAACGAAACCGUAAGAGUAACAUGGUACUAGCAUACCAUACACAUAUCCAUAACAUAACAUAGAUAUCUAACUAGGAGGGUUGGUCGAAGUUCCAGCUUCUAUGAGGAGGUCCACUACCCCUUCAAUUAAAAUAUGGGGAUGAAGUCGACUCCAUUGUGAGAGGACCAGGCGACAGAAGUACUUGAGCAUGUCCUUAAUCAUAACGUUCUCCUCAUCCCACCACUUCGUUUGGUCCGUUGUAAAACAACCAAUGUGUUGCCCCAUAAAACGAAGUGCCAUACAGGCCACACCUGUGAAUGUCAGGCUUUUGUGGCGCAGACACCACCCUCAACUUGAAGUCCUUGAUAUCCACGUGAGUGUUAAGAAGAACAAAUGACCUCGCAUAUUGCAUUAUCUGUGUUCUUGUCGGCUUGUUGUAUGGCUUGGUCUCAAAGUCCUUCUUAUAGAUAAGGCUAUUGAGAAUAACUCUUUCCUUUUUCUCCAUGUCCAACCCAAAGACAUAGAAGUGCUUGAAACUAUUUCCCCUUAUGUUGGGAAGAAGACCGAACACACAAAUAUAAUAUAGUAAUCACAUCAGAUUGUAUAUCAACUGCAUACCACAAAUACAAUACAUACAUAUUUCACGGAACUCAAGCCCUGGAGGUACUUCUUAUUUAAGAAAUCCUUGCAAGUUGGUGGGAAUUUAGAUUGAGUUAGUGAAAACUCAAUCUCAUUUUCAACUUUUGUCCUAGCAGGAGUUUGAAGCCAUAACACAGUCUAACUACACACAUAAAAAAUCACACUUACUAACAAGGAAUAGUCAGAUUAUACUCAUAACACAGUUAAAUUGGCAACAUAACAGAGGCAAAUUGUAUUCAUAACACACACAUAACAUAGAAAGACAGUUAAGUAACUUUGACGAUUCAAACAAUACUUGUAGUAAUUGAAAUAAGCCCAUAUAGUCUUUUUAUUGUGUUGUUGUUAGCCAGUAAAUUGUCAUUAUUGAACUGGUUGCAGAAUGCAUCAAUCAGUUUUGAUGUGCACCUGGUUUGAAUAAUAGACGGUCUCCAACUCAAGCUUCAUGACUUCCAUGCCUUUUUUUCCGGAAAGUCGCAUAUAAUGCAGCUGUUGAUAGGAAACAAUACUGCACUAGUUGUAGCCAUAACACAAAUGUAACACAAACGUAACAAAACGUAACACAAAUGUAACACAAAAAUAAAGGAUAUAUAACAUAGUGAGAAAUGAUAUGUACUCCCUUUCAACACUAGAUAUGGCAUAAGUUACUAUCUUGCUCUCAACUAGUGUUAAUUCAUGUUGAAGUCUAUUUGUGAGAACGAUCUUCAUGCUAGUCUUUUGUCGGUAAUAUGCAAUUGGAAUUGGAUUCUCUGAAUCACCUACCAAGUCCACUACAACUUGUCUCCACCCGGAGUUGCCUUUGUCGAUCCACCCACUAACUCCAAGAUGGCUUCUUUUGCGGUCAUUCUGUUGGUCCACUUCAACUUCCUUCUAUUUUCCUUGGCAACCUGCUCCUCUUCCUUUUCCUUUUCGGCUUCAUUAUCUUCAACCUUCUCUUCUUUCUUUUCUUCAUCCCUAUCAUCUGACUUCUCAUCUUACUUUUCGUCUGCAUUUGCAUCCUCCUCACAGUCACUACCAUCACAAUUUUCACCCUUGUUGUCAUCAUCAUCAUCAUCAUCAUAACCAUCGUCAUCUUCCUCCUCAUCUUCACCAUUGUCUUUAUCAUCAUCAUCACCAUCGUUAUUGUCCAUGAAAUCACCGUAGCUCUCGUCUUCAAACUCAUUACGAAACUCCACGUCAACAACUCCCUUGCCCUUCCCUAGUAAUAGGUUCUGGACAGACGCACUCCUAUCCAGUCACAACUAUAAUUAGCAAGGCAGUUGUCCUGCAUUGCACCUCGAUCGUCGCAACCUCUGCUAACAAUGUUUGCUGCAAUCAUGGUAUGAAGAUGCCUUCAGAUUAACCCAUAUACGAGAUAUAUAACACUUAGGUAAUUCAAAUAUACCACCAUCAGAACAGUACAAUAGUCGUGAAAAGCAGUUCACUGGCACAUAACAGAACAACAACAUAUCUUACGUUUAACGUCCAUAGAACAUUGUAAUAACACCCAUGGAUCAGUUACCUGUUAUGAAGAUGCAAGUUGUACUAUCGCCGUCUACUUGUCCAUUCUAGGGUUCGUUAAUCAUGUUCCCCUAUGCUGAUGCACAUUCACCCCAAAGGUAAGGAAAUCUAGCUCGAGACUUUGUCGAAAAUGUCUUGAGCCUAAGUGGGAGUAAUAGGUUUCAAGCCAGCUACAAGAGACGCCCUCUCACUCAACAUGAAUGACCAGCUGCCGUUAGGAGUACUUAUCCUUCUCAUCAUUUUGAUGACAACAUCGCAUCUUAGUAGGAACAAGUGGGAUGCUCUUUCGGAUCGAUACCAGAAAGAUCAACCAUGUCCAGAAAAUGCAGCUGACACAAACAACCGAGGAUAUCAAGAUUAGACAAUCAACCAACAGUAGUCUGCAUCAACAUAAGAACACUGUACAACUAUUAUAACACAACGAUAGCAUAAAUAUAAUAGCAAUAUAACUUAACAGUAACACUUACCACCAUGAAGUUCAUGUCCCUGCUGGGAUAGGACGCCUUCUGAUUCUUAUAGUAGUCCUCCAGACCUCUUAGCAGAUGAUUUGAGACGUCAGCCGCCCAAUUAGGAUUAGCAAUCUCAAAGUUGUGAAGGUGAAGAUACUUGGAAAACUUCAUUAUAACCCACCGGGUAUUUGUUGGAACAAGCAACGACUCAAGGGCAAGCAACAUGUACAACUUUGUAUAAGCCGUGGGAUCUUUACAAUUCUUCAUUGCAGCUUGGAGUUGAACUAUGUUGAUGUGAUUGUACUUAUUGCUCUUUGUACCGGUCACCCUUUCAAACUGCUUCAAUACCCUUAGCCCGAAAUGUUGGACAUCCACGUCGGCUAGACUUGUAUACAAGGGCAGACCAUAUACAUGGUGCACGACCUCUGACGUUACGCCCAACAGCUGACCAUCCGGGAACUUGAAAAGACCAAGUUCAGGAACAAAGGAUUGGAGGAGGAAUUGAGGAACCUCCUUAUUAAUCAUCUCUAGUUGUAGAUACAACAACCCAUAGAAGCCAGCGUCAUUGAGACAUAGACAGAUGUUAGUACGAUGCGGGUGGUCGUUUUCAAGUAGAUCAUUGGCAGCCACCAACUGUCCAAUUUUGCAACAGAAUGGCUUGCCAUUUCCCUUCUUUUUCUUCAAGCCAAUCUCCCCUAGGGGGCCCUUCUUUACAAUUGGUUGCUUUGUGGCAACUGCCUUUUCGUUAGCACAACCCUUCUUUGUCGGAUUAGUUUUGGCCACCAGACAAUCAAAUAACAUACUCAUAUUCAUAAUGUACCAAUGUCAUUAUGAUUCUCAUAACAACAAGACCAAACAAAGAUCGACAAUCAUACACAGGUACGUGAUCAUAUCAUAGUAAUAUCAUAUACGUAACAUAGGCAUUACGUAAUACUAAGAAAUACAAAUAGAUACACAAUCAUAUCAUAGACAUAAGAUAGGAAUAACAUAGGCAUCUAAUAUGCAUAACAACCAUAAACAGAAAGAUAAAUUGUAUUACACACAUAACAUAGGAACUUCAUACUAGUAAGUAGCAUAAACAAAAUAACAAUCAUAUCAUAGACAUAACGUAUGCACUUCAAAAUUGUAACAAACAUAGGCGGUCCUCAAAUCUCCCUUUUCUUGGGGGUUAACAGACACUAAUGGUGUUUUGUAGUUAGAGUCAGACUCCAAGCUCUAAAAGGAGGACGAUUCUUUCCGUUUCUGUUUCCACUUUUUGUUGCAUGAACCUUUCUGUACCCCACGUUGAGAUUACUGUAGCUCUGUGAGCCAUUUUAAAGAUUGAUGAGGGGAGAUGAGAACUCCUUUGUUAGUCUUCUCUAUAGGAAACUACGAGAAAGGAGGAAAACUUAUUAGAGCCUUAUAAAAUACCCUAAAAACCAAUCAUAUAUAUACGAAGCCUUAAGGAAGGUACAACAUAAAAAAAAAGUUAUCAGGUUUGGUGGUUCUAACCGUCAAUGUAUAGGUGGAUGAGGAUGAAUGUAACUGCUUUGGUGGAUGAGGACGAAGGUAACUACAACUUCACCAAGAGAGAGGCCUACAAACCUGAAGCCACCUUCAAAACUUCCACCCAGUACUUUGGAUCUACUGGCGGAUGAAUUUGAUUCCUCCAUGCAACGGCUUCACCGUCGCCGGUGAGAGGAGAGAGAUUAACAGGAAGAGGGAGACACUGAUGUUGAAGAAAGAGAUGGAGAGAAUGAAGAAAGAGAUGGAAAAGAGGGAGAGAAUGAAGAAAGUGAUGUGAAAGAGGGGUGACAGAAUAGUGAUAUGACCGGUCUGACACAAGGAUUGAAAAAAAUCGCAAAACAUUUUCAAUUUCCCAUUCUCGAUAAUGAAAUUCGAAUCUACGGAUGAAAAAAAGAAUUGAAUAUUAAAUAUAAAUAAAUAAAUUCUCGUUCCCAACCCCUAGAAGAAAGAUAGCCGUCUGAUCGAAGUCAACGAGGAGACGGAUUCCCAGUCGUCAGAUCAAGCUGUCUAGCCGUACAACUUGACUUUCCAUGCCAAUCAUUAACAUUUUUGCCCAACCGAGGCACCCUGUUUGUCUCCAGUUUGAUGAGUUCUUGCCGGUGAACCAAUCAACAAUGAAGAAGCUCCGAUGGAGGGCCCAUAAACUCACUAACAACUAGGUAAGGAUCAUGAAUGUUUUCAUAAGCUUAAUUUAAUAUUUUCUUAAGCUUAACCAGAUCUAUACAACCCUCCAUUGCCAGAUUCAAGUUUCGCCAGAGCCGCCGCCGUCUCUAUUUCUCAAUUUAAUCUCCUUUAUUUUGAAACCAGGUGAGGAGAGUUUCCCCUAAGUUAAUUUGGGGCUUCACAAUGGUUUGAAGUGGGAUUGAUCUCACCUGAGUUGACCUCCAGAACCCGAAUUUUGGAAUAUGGGUUUCGGCUCAUCGGGGAAGACGACUGGAAAACAUGUCAUGACGGUGCCUGAAGUUCCAGUGAUUUCAAUUCAGUCAUUGGACUUCUUGAGGCCAGAUCCGGUCACCUAAAUUUCCUAGAUGGCAAGCGUAAAACAAUACUUUAAAAUGUUAACAAAUUGCUUAAUAACGAGACCUAUAUAUCUGUUGUGACUCUAAACUUUAGGAUUAUGACAUUUGACCCAAAUACAUAAAAGAUAUUUAAGUGUUGAGGGUUAACCCUAAUUGAUCUUGAUAUGCUAUUCAAGGACAUUAAGGAUAAAUACAGGAUUUCUGAACUCGUAAAAGGAUUAAGGAAAAUGGAUUCUUUCGUUAUAAGGGAUCAUUAGUAAAAAGUAAUCAUGAUUUUGGAAAAGCCUAGUUUUUCCUUAUCACUUUAACAAUGGAGAUAAACUACAGAUACUUUGAGUCAUCACUCAGAUCUUUUUAUUUCAAAUCAACUCUGAGCCUAAUACCUAAAUUCCCGUAAUCAGGUUCUCAGAGUCGAAACCACUUUCAAGCGUGGAUCUCGACCUUUUUUUUGGGACCCUCACCACUUCACUUUUCUAGGCAAGUGGUUUAAGGGGGUAAAUUCUUACGUUGCUGUGUUUAGGAAUGAACCUAGAAUUAAAUGAUUACUUGAUCUAUUUGUUACUAUGUGUUUUGUAGUGAGUUAUGAUUGGUCCUAUACUCAUGUUGAUGUUAUGUAUCAUGCUUGCGUGUUACUUCCUGAUUAGUUAUGUUACUAGUAAAUCCUCAUCGUUGCUAAAUUCAUGUUGAUGCCAUGUGUCAUGUUUCCAUGUUUUUUCCUUGAUAUGUUAUGUUUACUUUUAAAUUCUUAUCCUUACCAUAUUCAUGUUGUUACCAUGUGAUAUGUCUUGGUUAUUAUCAUGUUAUGUUAUAAAUCACCUAAACAACAAGUAAGCCUAUGAUAGGCAAUAUAAUAACACGUAUCUCGCUAACUAGACCGCCACCCUCUUAUGUUACCUUCAUGUUUCACGUUUGGGCGGAUGGUAGGAAUCAUGUUUAUGGUUCGAUGAAUACGUACUCCCGGACUCUCACGUUUACAUUUUGGUGGUUUGCUAGUUAAUCAGGAGGCCCCUAGAUGUCAUGUCAAGUAAGCAAGCCAAGUAAAUAAUGUCAAGUAAACCAUGUUAAGUAAAUCAUGAUAAGUGAAUCAUGUCAAGUCUAAUCAUAUGUAAUCCCUAAUAACAUUAUUGUUUGGAUUGCUAACCUAAUGUGAAUGUGUACUCAAGAACUAAAAGCUUAUGUAAAACACUAAUAGUUAAGCACGCAAGACUGACCCCAAACCACUCACCAGGUCAUACUAGAGAUACCGGCAUAGAGACUACCUAAAAGAACUUUAGUGGAUGUUGAGGAUGUCACAUGAGUUAGAGUGAGUGAUUUUGGAGGAUGGACUACCAUGUUUACUCUCUUUCGAGUUUCUAGUACUUGAGACUUGGGUUUUGUUUUUUAUUUUUUCAUACUUGAUUUCAGAUGUUCGGGUUGCUCACUUGUAAGAGCCGAUUUACUUUGGAUUUAUGUGUAGUUUUCAAAAAAGUCUAUACCUUUCUCUUUUGACUAUCUUGAGUCUUGUGAUCUCUCCAAGGAAAUUUGGUAUUUAAAUAAAUGAAAAGGAUUUGUGAAAAUUUGGGUCGUGUCACAUACCACUUCCCCUUGCAACUCCUUUGAUGCCAAUAAACCUAAAAUACUCACAAAAUCACCCAAAAACCAACAUUAAAUGUCCCCAAACGGGCCAAGUGGAUAAAAACACAUAUUUGAGUUAAAGUUCCUAAGAACUACCCAGAAUAGCAUGAUAUGCACGAAAUUUGGCUUAAAAUACGAUAGAUGAAUGCAAUAAAUCAAACACUACAACUAACCCCACACUUAAGCUUUGCUUGUCCUCAAGCAAAAAACUGAUAAAAGCUAUGAUAAACAUCCACAAUUGAAUGACGUUACUAGCAAGGCAAAGCAAACCCAUAUUCCACAAAGUACCCCUAUAUUUCAACACAUGCAAGUAAACCCUUAAAAUCAACCAAUCUAGGAAGUAAGGGUCUCAUCAAAAGUUGUCCAACUUUUCAUACAUCAUCCGCCAUGGUAUACCACCCAUCUAGACUUUCUCUCAAAUGGCACAAUUUAAAAAUGAAGUCAAGAUCAUCUCACUCAAAGUGUUUAGGGAUAGUGUUUGUGAGCUCAUUCCUCAACUCUGACGCAAACUUCAACACUCGCACAUCAACCUACUUUUUAAUCAUUACAUCAUAGAACUUCAAACACUAUUCUAGAGGUCUUUUAUUAAGGAUUGUAAUCUGAAAAAAAGAAUAAGAGGAGAAAUGAAUUUGGUGGUAGGUGUACAUAUUGGCCGACGAUUCAGUCCACUCUAAACAUGGAGCUAAAGCUACUUAAAACAAACAACCACGAUGCAAGGAUUCAAUUUCCAUCAAGAGCUUAAUACUAGCUCCUCUAUCCCUUAAAUAAGCUACUACUCCUUCGAGCUUUUCCAUCAAGAGCUUUAUACUAGCUCCCCUAUCUCUGAAAUAAGCUACUACUACUUCAAGCUUUUCCAUCAACACUUGGCCUCAUGUGCAACAAAAUCCAGAAACUGGGUGAGGAACACGAUUUAGACAACAAAUGUAGCAUCCUCUGAUAAUGCAGAUAAUAUUUCCUUAAGACCUCAUGUUAAGGCAUUAGAAAAGAAGCUAAAUGAUUUUACUUUGAAAGUUUCUAACCCCCUGCUACUUAUGUUUAUACUUGUGCUUGGGGUGAUGUUCCUUACAGCCAGGUAGAAUGUGAUAUUUUCCUCACCAACAAAUUCAUGAUGAUGGAAGAAGUGGAUUUUGUGCGACAGGGCUACCCCUUCAAUCAGCAGGGAUAUCAGGAAUUCAGAGCAAAGAACGCCGAAGGCCGACGAUUCAACUUCACAUACCCUGGAAGGCGUUGUGACUUCUACAAGUGUAGGAUGGAGGAUUACAAUGUCAAAGACAACAUCACUCCCCAAAGACAAAACUCACACCAUUAAGGAAACUCGAGCAACAACUACCAAGGUCCACCAGGAUUUCCAAUCAAGCCAACUAAGCAGCAACAACAACAUAAUUCGGACCCUGCUGGAGGAAUAAAUGAAGACAUCAUCCAGAUGAUGAAAACCAUGCAUGUCUUAAUUAUAGCUCAAAAGCCUGCCAACACAAACUUUAUCCUCACUCCAGAGGAAAUCAAGAAGCAUGUUCGAUUCUAUAUCCAUUGGUAGUCAAGAAGAAGGGGCUUUGAAAGGCAUUUUAGAGAUUUAUAGAGAUCAUCAAGAAGAAGGAGGUUACAUUAACCUUUCUGGAAGCUUUCAUAAAGAUUCUAGCAUAUGCAAAGUUCUUGGUGAUGCUAAACAAGAAGAUAAAUCUUAGUGAUGCCACAGAGGUCUCACUCUAUGAAGAAGGAGCAAUAAUCCAAGUUGGAUCGACAAAGCAAAAAGACCUAGGGAGCUUUACUUUACCAUGCAUGAUUAAGAAUGUUAAAGUCUAGGGAGCUUUAUUUUACCAUGCAUGAUUAAGAAUGUUAAAGUUAGUUAGAGUCUUGCUGAGCUAGGUGCUAGUAUAAAUGUUAUGCCCCAAAGCUUAUAUGAGAAACUAGAUAUAUGUGAACUUAGACAAACUAAGAUAGUUCUUCAACUUGCUGAUAGGUCUUUGGUAAAACCCAGGGUAGUCGUAGAUGAUAUUUCAAUUUGUGUAGGACCUUUUGAAUUUUCUGCUAAUUUUGUUGUUCUAGAUACCCAUGAGAAUGACAGUCAUUGGCUUAGUCCUACGAAGGUUGUACCUAAGAAGGUGGGUUUCAGGACCAUUUUUGUUUGAUGAUAACUAUAUACAUGCAUUUAAUUUUCUAAAAAUGAAGUUGACCACUGCGUCGAGAUUAGUCUCCCCGGAUUGGGAGGCACCUUUGUAACUAAUUUGUGAUGCUAGUGAUUUUGCAGUGGGUGUAGUGCUAGGACAGUGGAGAGAGAAGAGAUUACAUCCCAUAUACAUCAUGAGCAAGAUGCUUAAUGAUGCACGGAAAAACUACACAACUACUAAGAAUGAGCUCUUGUCGAUUGUCUUUGCAUUCAAGAUGUUCAGGUCCUAUUUAAUGUUUAUCCCAGACUAUGGUUUUCACUGACCAUUCUGCUCUUAACUAUCUUCUAGCUAAACAAGAUGCGAAGCCGAUAUUUAUUCGUUGGGUGUUGCUCCUUCAAGAAUUUGACAACACUAUUAAGGACAAUGCGGGGUUAGAGAACAUUGCAGCUGCCCACCUAUCGCGCGUUGAACGGCCUCCUCCUGUUCAAUUAGCUCAAGGAGAGAUAAAUUAGCUCUUCCCGGAUGAUCCACUACUCCUCUUGGUAGAAGCAGAGAAAGUCUUGGAUCAUCAUCCUCAACAAACGCCCAUGGUUUUCGUACAUAGCCAACUUCCUCGCUUUCGCGGCAUUUCUAGAAGAUUAAAAAAUCAUCAGCAGCAAAGGAAACAGGUCUCCGAAGCCAAGCACUACAUCUGGGAUGAUCCUUACCUCUACCAUUCGGGCUCAGACGGAGUAAUCAAACGAUGUGUUAUGUUGCAUGAAUCACUCCACAUCAUGCUCCCUUGCCACACUAGACCUGUUGGGGGACAUCAUAGUGGAAAUCGCACAGCUCACAAGAUUUUAGAUGCGGGUUCCUACUGGAGGACGAUCUCGAAGGAUUGUGGCAGAUACGUGAAGAAAUGUGAUGCCUGUCAACAUACAUGUAACAUUUCAAAUAAGAAUGAAAUUCCUAUUACCAUCUCCAUGCUUGUAGAAGUUUCUAUUGUGCGGGGUAUUAGUUUUAUGGCCAUUUCCCAUAGUCCCAUGGUAACAAGUAUAUCCUUGUUAUUUUGGAUCAUGUGUCAAAGUGGGCAGAGGCAUAAGUGCUGCCUACUAACGAUGCUUGGAUAGUGGGAAAGUGUAUCACACGGCUUUUCAUGCAUUUUGGUGCCCCUCAUGUUAUUGUUAGUGGUAGGGGCACUCACUUCUAGAGUCAAUUCGAUCUUGUGUUCCAAAAAUUUGGUGUAACUCAUCGAUUAACCACUGCUUAUCAUUCACAUACAAGCGGUCAAGCGGAGGUGACGAAUCGUGAGCUGAAGCGGAAUCUUGAUUGACAGUCGAUCAGUCUCACAAGGACUGGUCAAUUCGGCUCGAUGAAGCUCUAUGGGCUUAUCGAACUGCCUUCAAGACUCCUAUCAGUACUUUGUUGUAUUAACUAGUUUAUGGCAAGCCUUGUCAUUACCGAUCGAGCUUGAGCAUAAGGCAUGGUGGGCCAUGAAGCUAUUAAACAUGGAUGAUAGUUUGUAGCUUCAAAACACAAAGAUCAGCUCCUUGAGCUAGAGGAGUACAAGUUUCAUGCUUAUGAGAGCUCAUGGCUAUACAAGAAGAGGAUGAAACGCAUCCAUGAUGCCAAGCUUCAAGGUGUCAAGGACUUUGAGAAGGGAGAUAAAGUGUUUCUUGACAACUCCCGCCUCCGACUGUUUUUGGGAAAAUUACAAUCAAGAUGGUCGGGACUAUAUGAAGUCACACAAUCAUUUCCCUACGAUACCGGGAAGAUCACACAUUCGUGCCAAGGAACAUUCAAGGUCGACAGUCACCAUCACAAGUGAUAUCACAGUUCCAAGCCUACUAAUUGAGUCAAAGUUCAUUACUUCACUGAUGGUAAAUAAAAGGCGAGGUAUCGUCUAGCUCAAAGAGGUUAAAAAAGAGCGGUUCAUGGGAGGCAGCUCAUGCUUGGAGUCUAUAUUUUGCAUUUUAUUUUGAGUCAAAUUGCAUGUUUAGGUGUUAGAUCGAGUCUAGAACAUGAUACUUGAGUCCCAUUCCUAUCCCAAGUCAUCGAUGAGAAGCGUUUUGAAUUUUGUGUGAAGGGUGGAAGGUCACAGAACAAUAUGUCAACCUUAGCGCUAUAGAUCUGGGUCAAACAUGAGCACCAGAGUUGCACUACCCCGCCCACCGCCACCACAUGGAUAUCAGCGACCGCCAAUAGAGUUUGCUGGCAUGGUGAGGUCAGUAUAGUAGUGGCAGAUCAAUUUUGGGGAGGGUAGUCUUCCAUGGCAGCAGUAGUAGACAGCCUGACAGACGUCAUUUGAUUUGGGACAGUGACCUUCAUAGAUCGAGCAGAGGAGAGUUGAGUAGGAACACCAUGAUCGAGCCCACCACACUCGCCUUCACUAGAUGACUACUGAUCCAGUAUCAUCAUUCUAGUUUCUCAUUAUGUGUUUGAGUGUUUUUCAGAAGUUAGUGUCGCCACGAAGGUUGAACUUCAUGAGUCAUGUAUGAGCCUCUUGGAUUUCAGACAACAUCCAUGUUUUCCUGUGUAACUUUUCGCUUCAUUUAGUGAGGACACUUUCCGAACUAAGUUUGAGGUGGGUUUGCAUAGGAUUUGUGUAUGCUAGUCUUGUUGGGUAGUUGUUUUACAUGUGCAUCCUAAACUCAAGCUUGUUGGAACUAUCUUUGAAUCAAUUACUUGGCAUGCUUAGAAAAAUUCCUUGUGAUUUGUGCACUUGAAUUGCUGAAUUACUUGUGAACCUAGAUUUGAUAGGAGUAUAGGCCUAUGAUCAAAGUCUAUUGAUUCAUUCUUUAGAAGCAGAUCUGAGGCAUAGACUCUAACACUUAUAUCCCUUCUACAUGGAAGUUUCAUCAAGUUUCAAUGUGAAUGAAUUCAAUCGGAGACUAGAGGAGCUGGGAACGAUAAACAUCCUCCACCGGCCUAGGUUUCUUCUUCGUAGCACAUGGUUGAAAUAGAAAUGAAGAAAAAUCAGAAGAAACCAUUUGGAGGCGGAGUGAUGAUGGUGAUAAUGAGGAGGUUUUGGUACCUUGUAUAAUUCAUCUCCAAUUAAAAAGGUAUUAAAAAUUAACGGUUUUUAAAUUGAUUGUUUUUAUUGACGGUGAAGGAGGUAUUAACUGAUGAAAGAGGUAUAGUGAAGAAAAGAACUUAUGGAACUUAAAAAAGAAAAAGAAAAUAGAAAAUUGGAAGGGAAGUUCACGUAUUUAAAUCGAAUAAAUUUGGGUGAUCUAGUUGUAUUGUUUAGCAUAUUUGGGUGUUAACUCAAUAUUAUGUUUAUUAAAAAAUCGACCAAUAAUAUUCCGCCACAUAACAUUUGUACCGGAUGCAUGUUUCCACCAAAAUGUUUCCUUAUAUUAAACUGAUUUGUUAAGUUUGAAUGUAUAUUAACUUUAAAAGAA